rnacentral:lncRNA from 1 species
UGCGGGGGCCUGGCCGGGCGUCGCGGACUCGGGAGAUGGAGGAAAAGGAGCAGCUGCGGCGGCAGAUCCGCCUCCUACAGGGUGGGUCGGCCCCGGCCGGGCCGGGCGUGCGUUCCCUUUUUUCCCCCUCACCGCUGGCGGGCCUCUCCGGAGUGGUAGACCUCGCCCGCGCUCUCUCGACGCUCGGGACCGCGGCGUCUGUGCGGGAUCGGCCUGGGCCGGUUUCCGGCGGGUCCCGGGCCGGGCGUGGGCAGCGGGCCUUCCGGGCAGGGGCGGCCGGUCGCUCGGGGUAGCGCGCUGGCGCCCGGCUGGGCCCGGUCCUUCCCUCUGUACCGACGCAGCCCCUCGGAUUCCAGGCCGACUCCCCAGCCCUCAGCUUCCUGCUUAGAACCUAGGUUGGUCUUUGUAGGCUUAAAACCCUUCCAGGUCAUCCCCACAGAGGGAGGCCUCAGGAGUGAGAAUCCGGCGGGCUGCCGCCGCUGGGCUUCCCUCGCACUCGCCCUGAGCCGGCGCCUGGUCUGGAAUGGCUUUCUGUUUGUCUGGGCAGGACUGGCCUGGGGGUGUCCGUAACUGGAGGGCUGCCUGUUGGUUUGGCAGCCGAGUGUUGAUGCCUGUGUCCUGCUUCCCUGCGCCAGGCCAGCCACUGGGGACUUCCUUGGAAAGCCUGUGGUGUCAGGCCUCCUGUUUUGGAGAAGUCAGUGACAUAUCAGGAAGGUCACCAGCCUGUGUAUUGAGUGUUCUUUUAUCUGCUGUCAAGUACCAGUGUUGGGGGGCGUUGUUUCCAUUACACUCCGUGGAAAUUAUUGAGCAUCCUUCCCUUCUGUGGGCAGAGCAGAGGUCCACUCUGGCUGACUUGUAUCCUUGUCCAGAGACUGCAGCUUGGGACCUGGCUGGUCUCUGCAUAUGGAGUGACACUUCCCUUAAAGAAUUGUGGAUCUAACAAAGCAGCAAAUAGAAACUGACCUACCACAGGGCUGCAUUUUCAGGAUAAACCAGCAGAAGUAAUAUUGAAAUAGAACAGAUGGGAAAAAGUCUUGUGCAAAAGACAGGCCUAGGGUUUUGAGCUGAACUGUUUCCAGGCAUUGGGGGCUGCCCCCUGAAUCAGGCAGGGACUCCGGAGGCAGGGUCUGAGGGCAUCUUGCCAGCUUAUGCCCCUCCCUUAUAGUGAUUAAUGCUGCUGUAUUCACACCUCUGGUUGACUGAGUCUGUAAUUCUGUCUUCUCAGGUCUAAUCGAUGACUACAAAAACCUCCAUGGCAAUGCCUCUGCCCCAGGCACCUCAUCUGCUUCCCAGUGGCAGCCACCCUCUUACCACAGUGGCAGGGCCUUUGCUGCCCGCUACCCUCGUCCAAGCCGAAGGGGCUUCUCAUCACACCAUGGACCUGCAUGGCGUAAGAAAUACUCCCUUGUGAACCGGCCCUCGGGAUCCUCAGAACCAGCUGGUGACCAUGCUGUGCAAGCACCCCUCAAGGACGAAGGCAGCCAGGACCCUGACCCUCAGCCGUAUAUUCUUGAGAGACAGGUCCAGCUCAGUCCAGAUCAGAACAUGGUCAUCAAAAUCAAACCACCAUCGAAGUCUGGCUCCAUAUACAGUACUUUAGGACCCCAGAGGAGAUCUUUGGAAGACUAUGAGGACAUGCCCUGGAGUGACCAAAGACCCCAGGAAGGCGAGGGUGAGCCUGCUGUUGGGAAGCUGCAGCCCUUGAGGCCAGGAAGAGGCAGGGGGAGCUAUAGUGCUAAGGAUCCCCUUUUGGUUUGCCAGAAGGAGCCUGGCAAGCCACGGGUUGUGAAGUCUGUGGGCAGUGUGAAUGAUGGCCCUGCGGAGCCCCGGCGGACGGUCAGUGAGAGCGCAGUUGUCGUCCAGGCCUGCUUGCAGUCCUCCACCUUACCCCCACGUACUGGGAUGGCCCUGGGUCGGAAGGUGGGCCCUCAUUCUGCAGCCAGUUGUGCUGUGCAGCCCCUUAGGGAUGAAAGAGUGAAUGCUGGUCAUCCGGAUCAGCCAGCUCCCUUGGGCUCAGUGGUGGCCCCAGCCAGAUCAGUCUCAGGGCCCAGGCAGGCCCGGGAAACCUCACUGCUAGUGUCUUGUCGAACCAACAAGUUUCGGAAAAGCAAUUACAAAUGGGUGGCCUCCUCUGCAAAGAGCCCCCGGGCCACUCGGAGGUCUCUCAGUCCCAGAGCAGCUACAGAGAAUGUGAGCAGGGCCUCCUUUGGCACAUCUGGAAAGACAGAGAAGCCACAGCCCAGAGCUGACCCAGAGGCCAGGCCCAGAAGGCUGGCCAUGAACUCCAAGACCGGGCCCUCUCCCAGCAAGUACAAGUGGAAGGCAUCCAGCCCCUCUGCUUCCUCUUCUUCCUCCUUCCGUUGGCAGUCAGAGGCUGGCAGCAAGGAUCAUGCUUCUCAACUUUCCCCAGUUCCAUCUAGGUCUCCACCAGGAGACAGGCCAUCAGUGGGACCUGGCAGCUUGAAGCCCCUCUUUGGGGAGACACCACUGUCAGCUUACAAAGUAAAGAGCCGCACCAAGAUUGUCCGGAGGCGGGGCAGUACCAGGUGUGCAUCUCCACUGCCCAGUGUCCCAUCUGGGUGCGCGGAGGGGGCUGGGACCAGCAAGAUCCUUUUGGCCCCUGAGUUGUGGAGUCUGGGGCAAGCCCUUAGCCUCUGCUCCCUCCAAGAGUGUUGGGAGGGGGGGGCUACCUCCAGGGAGGGGCAGCGAGGGUUGGGGCUCAUGGUGGGCAUGAUCAGCACCACUGGCUUGUGGGCCUGACCUAGGGGCUUCGUGUGGGAUUGUGUCCAGUGGGCUAUAGGUGUUACUGUCCUUUAGAGCCAUGUCGCGCUUGAGACUCUUAAAGCUGCAUAAGGGGAGGCUCAGGGUGACUAAGGAACUUGCCUUGGAUCCAGCCAGGCAGUGGUGGGGUGGGAGCCUGGUCUCAUGGCCAGAAGCUUGUGAGGCAUGGUUUCCCUUCCACAUUUGUAGAUACAGAUGGCAUGGUACCAGUCUGGCUUCUGGGGAGCAGCCACCAUAGAUAGUCUGCCCAGAGUGCAACAGGAGGGGGAGGCUGUGUGGGAGCCUGUGGUUGCCCCCAGUCUGGAGCUGUGGACCAUGCAUCUGAGCUGGGUGGUGGCCUGGGGCUCUGGGCACUGGCCCUGAGGUGGGGGGGUGCUGGGGCCUUGGGCCCACGAGGCCCGGCCCUGUUGGGUGUUCUGCCCAUGGCCAGGUAGCCUGCUGCUCCAGUUCAGUGCAGUGGGCAGCAGCUGGGUGGGGCUGGUGCACUGCAGCCUCUUGGGAUUUCUCAGAUUUGAGCUCUGGCCACCCUCAGAAAGUGACGAGGUGGCAGGUGGCCAUCCUCAGAGGGAACAAAAUGAUCUUACAUCCCAGCCACUCUCUUGGUGGUGGCCAGGUAACUAGAUGGUGCUACCACCUCACAAGCAUACAGUCCUUUCUGAGCUACCCAUCCUCAUGAGUUGUAGAGAGACUCAAAGAUGAUGUUGUAGCCCAGAGUCUUGUUCUGGGUUCUGAGACUUCAUCAGAUGAGCAGCUAACAAACAGAAGCGUGAGGCUGCACCGCUGGGCAGAGUGUCUGCUGUGGAGUGUGCCUUCCCAGCCCUGCAGGAGCUCUUUCUUCUGUCUGACCUUUGUCUUUGGCUCAGGGUAGGCUCCCUUCCUCUGACCCCAGUCCCUGUUCUUCAAAUUCUCGGAGAGUGGCUUUGCUGUACCAUGCCUGUGCUUCCUCUGUUCUGGGGAGUGUGGAGAGGGAGCCUUGGGGCACUCCUCUCACAGGUGGGCGGGGUUGGCCUGUGGGCCUGGUGGCAGCUCCUCCUCAAGGGCUGCAUCUCUUUCUGUUGCUGCUUGUCCCCACCCUGUGCAGGAGGUUAUUGGACUGGGGAAGUGGGGCGGAGUGGGCAUUCCAGGAGGGGUUGGUCUGAGGCCUCUGCCCUGGUGGGGAGUGUGGCAGCCUGCCCUGGCCCGGGUCUUCUGAUUACGGAUCUGCCUGCUUGCUCAUCCUGGCUGCAGAGGGAAGGGGAGGGGGAGAAGGGAAGUGGACUAGCAGCCAGGUGGGCGCUGCGUCAGACUGGGUAGGGAAGGCAGGGCUUUGGAAGAAGCCACGGAGCUCUGCCUGCUUGUGUCUGGGUCCAUGCCCUUCCAUGAAGACUUGGGUAAGGAAGGGUGGGUGGACAGAGCCACCAGUGAUUCCGCUGGUAUCUGCUUGAUUUUGUCUCUACAGCCUUCCUGGGGACAAGAAGAAUGGCCCCUCACCUGCCACUACCAAGAGCCACCUUAACCUGCGGCGGAGACAGGUCCUUCGGGGGAAGAACAACCCUGUUCUGAAGAGGACUCCCAAUAAGGGCCUGGUGCAGGUCACUAGGCAUCGGCUGUGCCAUCUGCCACCAAGCCGGGCCCACCUCCCCUCCAAGGAAGGUAUGCCAGGGGAAGGGGCUCAUCAUGGGAUGGGAAUGGCUGCAAGCUGCACCCCUCCCUGGGAUUGAACCCAGAGGUGCAUCUCCAGUGUCUGGUCUUGAACUUGCACUCUUUCUGCCUCAGCCUCCUAGGUUGCUGGAAUUGCAGUGGUGCACACCACAUCUGGCUCCUCCCUGGCCUUUUAGGAACCAUAUUUGCUGUCUCCUGAACAUGCUGUUGGAGGGCUGUGGACCCAGAGGGCUCUGCCUGGUGGGCAGCGGGAGGCCAGGUGAUGAGUGCAGGAGAGGGACUGGGAGUGUUGUGCCUGGGUGGGGGCUAGUGCAGCUAGUCAGGAGUGUGGUAGCCUUUCUGCCCAGUCCUCAGUAUGUACCCACUGCGUCCCUCCUGUGGGAGGUGAUGGGUAAGAGCCCUUGUGCCCAGCCUCGCUUCCUCCAAGGGAGGCCCACAGGGCUCCGCUCCCCUGUCCUGGGCCAGCCUGGAAGUCUUCGUUGCAUUCUCCCAGAGUCACCUUUUGCUGUGAGCAGCUGGAAGCCUGUGGGAGGUCCUGAGAGCUCCCUGCGGUUGCCUGAGUAGAUCCUGGCCUACAGGUUGUAGGUAUGACUCCUCUGAGGACAGCCCUGUCCCCCACUGGGAGGAGACGUGUCAGGAUACACUGACACUGGGGGGCCACCUCCAGGCCAGUGUGUGCUCCGGGAUCUGUGGUGAGGGGUCUUGAGUCCUAGGGGUGGCACUUACCUGGUGUGGCCAUGGGGAGCUGGGUUUGUCUGAGUACACCUAACCCUGUGGCAUCUCCUGUCAUUCUCCUUGGAGCACCUGGGCAAAUGUGGCCAAGUGUGUGUAGAGUCUGGAAAGGGUGGGGUGCUUGGAGACUAGCAAGCAUGGACAUGGGCAGUCUGAGUGGAUACUGGCUCUCAUUCAGGAAAUAUUCUUGGCUGACCGGGAAGGUUCUGGGGAAGGCUCUGGGAGGGGCAUUGCUGGGCAGAGCUGAGAGCCUGUGUGGAGAGCUGGGUACAGGAGUGUGGGGCCCACAGCCCAGCCAGAGGACUGAAGGGGCUUGUGCAGCUGGGACUGGGCCUGCAGGCUCAUGAGGCAGCAAAGUUGGAGGGUGCUGGCUGCUUGCUGUUUUGUGUGGCUGACUCUUGCCAUGUGCUGGGGCCAGUGUGGAUCUUCCCAGGUGACAGGGAGCAGGGGAACCAAGAGGUACCUGGUGCUGCAGUGCAGUGGCUGGAUGGGAGUGUGGAAAAAAGACUUGACUGGACAGAGGGCAGGUGCUCAUGGUCAAGUAGGGAGGAUAGGUGGAGGAGGGCUCCAGCUUUGGGUGGAGGGGCCUGCCGGUGUCAUGGGAAGGCAGGGUGGGAGGAUGGCUGAGUGAGGUCCUCACUGGUGUCCUCUGAGUCAGCUCCACACUCUGUGCCUGCAGCUGGCCUGUUCGCUCUGGCCUGGGGCAGGGUGGGGUACGGACUGGGGAUGGUUCUGCUGGCAGGGGCUGGCACUGCCGUGAGCCCCACAGGUAGUCAGGCAGGAAGGAAUGUGGGUCCCUAGGUUCCCACCUUGGGUCAGGCCUUGUUGGGAACUGUGGGGGCUGCUAUGGUCACUGCCCUGAUAGGACCAGGGGAGCGAGCAACCUCAUAAUCAAGUGUGGUGACUGUAAGGGAGGGCCUGUGGUGAUGGGCCUCUGGGAAGGUCUCCUACCCCCUCCCCUGCCUGCCUACUCGCCAACCACAUGUUGGUCACUUUGGGGCCAGGCGGCAUGCUGACUCCUAGGGGAUGCUGGAGCCAUGCUCUGGUGGUAAAGACAGGUGGCAAUCUGCGUCCUUAUGGACGGACUGGAAAGAUGCUUUUGGAUGCUCAGUGUGUUCUGAAAAUGAGGAAGCAGAAGAGUGUAGCAGUGAGUCUUGGGAAGGCUGGACAGCAUUGACCGGGUGUUUGGGAGGGAUUCUCUGAGGAGGGGACCUGAAUGAAGAGAGAGCAAGUAACUCUCAGUUCUGCAAGUGGAGGGCAGGGUGGGACUGAGUUUCCUGUGUUCCAGGAACAGAAGGGAGGCCCUGUAGCUGACAUGUUGUCCCAGGUGAGGGAACCAGACAAUGGGAAAGUUCUUGUAGGUCCCAGUAAGAAAAAGAGGGUUGCUUCCGGUUACAUUGGGAAGCCAGGGUGGGACAGAAGAGGGUUAGGGUUAGCUGGGACUUGGGUCGUGUUUUCAUGGAUAGCAACAGGCCCACAGUGCCCUGGAGGCUGGAGCAGGUUAUGAGUCAUAGGCCUGCACGUGUGGCCUUGUGUGCCAGGCUGUGUGAGUGUCUUCACCUCCCACGUGGGCAGGGGCCUCUGGAAGACGGACAUAAGAGGUGUGAGAUGCUGAGGCGCACCAGGUGGUCCCAGAGACUGCCCCCGAAACUUGGACAGCAGAGGCCACGAGCUGGGAUUGCUGCAGGAGGACAGGGGCCUGGUUAGGGCAUCAUGAGAGGGGGUGGGAGUGAGGACAAGCAUCUCCCUGGGUUGGGACCUAGGCGGAGCCUGGGUAAUCCUGAAGCCAACGUGAGGCUUCCCCAGGGUUCCUCCUGCAAGGCCUGCUGGCUCCCUCCCUCCUGGCUAGGGCUGUCUUGGGUCCCCAAGCUGGGGAUCUUGCUCAGAUGUAGUUCUGCCUCCAGGAGGGUGUGGAACCCAAGGUUGUGUGGCUCCUAGGUAGCAGUUCCUCCCACUGGAUGGGGCUGCCCCUUCAUCUGGCUGGAAUAUUCUCUUUUCCCAUUUUCCUCCAGAAAAUGCUUAGCCCCAGCUCCAGCUCUCCAGGGAAGCAGUGUCCUGAUGUCCAGGGAGGGACCUGACCUCCUAAUGGGCUUCUGUGCCUGGGAGGGAGGGAAAGAGGCCUUUGGCAGCUGCAGGGCAGCCCUGCCUUGUGGCCUUGCUGCCAGCAGAGGGCGCACUUGCCUCUCUUAUUCUUAAGUCCACCUUUUUCUAGUAAUUGAUUGCCUAAUUUCCUCUUUAUGUGAAAGAAAGCAGAUAUCAAGUAAUUUGCAGCAAUAACCUGCUAAUGCUGGGCCAGUAUCGAAACUCCCCUGUUCAUUUCAAGUGGCAGAUAAAACACUAAUACAUAAUUAUCCUUGCAAAUUGGAUUGUUUUAAAUAACCAAAAGGCUACGGCCAGGAGAAAGCGAUCCCAUCUCCCUCGAGUUACUCUUGCAGCGUAAUUGCCGCGUUCAAUCAAUUUCCCUGGCAUUAGAAAUUCCAUCACAAUCAACAUUAAGCUUUAUUCAUUGUGAUGGCUAAGAGCCGGGCCAUUUCUCCUCUUUUUCUUAACUGGCAAAAUUAAUCAGGGAAAAGAUUUUAAACAUUUACCCGUGCGAAAGAGGUCAGCCCUGCCACUAUAUUGCUCAGCAGAUAAGGGGGCUAAUAAAAAGAAAAUUGAAUUACUAAUGAUCACCAGGAACAGAGUAUAUAAAACCUGGCAAUCGCCAGUUCAGGAGAAGGGAGAAUCAAUUUUCUUGGGACAAGGUGCGCUCAUUUUUUAUUUUGGCGCAUAUUAUCAGCAAUUUAAUUUGAGAGCACAUAAACAGGAGGAAACAGUUAGGGAAUAAUGAGCCCCGAGGUGUAAAGUGCCGCAGGAUAUAUGCUGUACACAAUUUAUUUGGCACAACAGAUAAUCACUUUAAUUGAAUUCAAAACUGCAUUGUUCAGCAGCCGUGCGGCCGCUCAGCCCGAGGACUGAGAGUGUCAGGAAGGUUCCAGCCUGACUCAGGGAGUCCCUUCCUGACCCUGUCUCCUCUGCCUCCAAAGAGUUCUCUGGGCCCCAGAGAUUUAGAAUCAGAGUUUGACUGGAGUCGGGGGGUGGGGGGGGGGGCUUGGGGUACCCUCUUGACCCUGUGCCCCUUGUCUCUGCCUUCCCUUUCUCCUGGGGUUGAAGGGUUAAGAUUCUGUCGGUGGUGGGUCUGAGUGGAGAUCUGCCUGAUUGUCAUGGAUAUUGCAGGAGAGUCUGGGGCAAGGGGGGGCGAGACCUUUAGGGUUCGCAAAAUGGUGCCUGAUUUACUGUCCCCGUAAUUCUUGCCAUCAGUUACCCAGUGUGAUAACCAUCCAUCUGGGCUCUCACUCUGGUAUGGGCAUGUGGGGCCUGAGGGGCUCAGGGUCAGCUCUGAGGCUCAUUCUCCUCAGGCCCAGCCAGGCCCAGCCAGGCCCAGUGCUGUGUCUGGCUGCCUGAGGAGACCGUGUAGGCUGCUGAGCUGCCCUCAGCGGGGGUGCUGCCUGGGGUGCUGCGCCCCAGGCUAGGGUGCUGCUUGAUGCCAACAAGUCAAUGUUUCCUUUUCUCUUGCUGUUCUGGGGCUUGAAGCCAGGGCCUUGGUGUGCUAGGCAAGCCUCUGCCAUGGAGCUGCAUCCCCAACCCAUUUAAUUUUGUUUAAAAAUAGGGUCCUACUAGGUUGCUGAGGCUGGCCUCAAAUUUGUACUCCCUCUGCCUCAGCCUUCCGUCUAGAUACUCAGCCCAAUACCUAGACCCUUCACUACUACUCUCCAGUUUGCUGUCCUGCCCUCCCCAGCCCUAGGCUGGCAUCACUGUUGUACAGUUGUGUGUCACCGGGCCUGUCUUAGUUGGGGAUUCCUAAGAGCCACUUGGAAAUGUCUGCUGCUGUGUGCCAAGGAAAAGACUUUGUGGAGAUCUGCUGGGGUGGGAGGCCCCUCUACUUUUCUGCUCAGGGUUGUGGGUAUGUAGUCACAGCCCACCUCUUCUCCUGCUCUCCAUGGUGAGCCUGGGGUCCCGCCCACGAAGCAGCAACUUUGGCAGAUGAGUUGCUAGAGUGGAGGGCUUGGAUGAGGCCUUGCUGAAGGUGGAUGGGGCUGGGGGCUCCCACAGGCAUACCUGCCAUGGGCAGGAAGGGCUGGGUUUCUUGGUGUUCUUACAUGUGACAAUUUGUGACAGUAGGCUGGCCCAAGACCUGUAGGUUGCACAGGCUUUCACAUAAGCCACCCAGGCAGAAUCAUCUGCCUCUGGCCUAGAGUUCACUGGCAUAUGACAGGUGAUUCCCACCUUGUCCUUAGUCCACAGUGCUGGCUCUGUGGGUAUGGAGGAACCGCUUUCAUCAUUUAUGGACAAGAAGCAGGAUCACCCUCAGUCACUGGCAGAAUGGGCAGGAGUGGAUCUUGACCCCCCCUUCUGGCUGGGUGUCACCAGUUCUGGGGCCCACUGCCCAUUCUUAGAGUCCAAGCGCUUCAAGAAAGUGCUCAGGGAGUCUUCCCUGUGUGACCUCUGUUGACCUCCUCUUAGCUCCCUGCUGCCCUUCACCACUCACCAGUUUGCUGUCCUGCCCUCCCCAGCCCUAAGGCUGUCACCUAUGGAGAGGCUGGGGACCCCUCAGGCAUACAGUGCUUUCUGGGCACUGGUCUGCCCCCCAGCCUCUGUCCACCUGAAGGCAGCCUCCCGAGUCUGUUGGUGGGGGUGUGUCUACAGACUAUUUGACACUCUUCUCUCAUGCCCUCCUGGCUGUGUGCACAGUGUGCUUAGGCUUGAAGGACCUGCCCAUCAAGGCCCUUCCUCCCAUCCUUAGAGGUCCCUGGGGCUUCAGGAGUGGAAGCCUGGUCAGGGCAGCUUGGGUCCUUGCCCAGUCCCAGCAUGGGCAUUGAGCCUUGGCAAUGCUGGUGGCCACUUUUCUUCUAUGUCAGGCGAAGGCAUGGGUUCUCCCUGUGAGGGAGCAGAGAGCUGCGGUCAUGGACCCAAGUCCGCCACCUCUCCCUGCCUGUGGGCAGAGGUGUGUGCUGUUCUGCAGCCCCAGCUGAGCAGACAGAUGCCAUAGAGGACGUGUGCCAGGGUCCAAGGUGCUGGCUUCGAGAGUGUUCACAGUGGCUCGCUGUGCCUGGCACGGUAGGGCUCAGGGCCGGUGUGCUCAGCAGGGAGGCUGAGCUGGGUGACCGCCUCUGUUGCUGGGUGCUGGGAGGAGGCUGUAUUCAGGAUGCCAGGUACAUCCUGACUUUGAGUGUUCAGGCUUGGUGCUGGCAUUUGCCUCGCUGGGGAACUUGGGCCCCUUGUGUUUGUAGUGCGGAUAUCUGAUUCCCUAUCUGUAAAGUGGCCAAGGGUUGAUUCUCCUGGGAUUGGGAGGUUAAGGGGUAGAACUCUGGGGUGCUUUGGACCAGCCCUGCAUUCCUGCGUGCUGUGUGGCUGCUGGAGAUGCUGCCUGGGAGCUGUGCUGGCACCUUGGGGGUCUGCGAUCCAUCAUUGCUCACUGGUGUGCAGCUGGGCUGUUCGAUUUUACUAUGGUGAACACCGUUAAAGGGCGUGAGAGCAGUUAAAUCUGGAGUCCUGCUUUCAUAAGGGAAAAAGAAAAUGCUGAAUUAGGCUCUGGGAAAGGCAGCCGCAGCGAUCCUUGGAUCUUGCAUAAAUUAUCAGGCGCGCUGGAGGCCUCCAGUUUUACGUUUGUCGUGGCCGUUCUAAUGAAUUAUUCCACAAGAAUUGGCAUGGGAUUGCACAUGUGUGCUGCUCAUGGUGCCAUCGUAGCCUUGAAGUCAAGACCUGGGGCUGGCUUCCCUUGGUGUCUUGUGCAUAGCACUGGUGGCCCUGCUGUCAGAGGGAAGAGCCCCAGCCCAGCAUGCCUUGUCUUCCUGCCACUGUCCCUUAUUGUGCCAUCCCUGCUCUCGUUGGAGACCCAGUGGCACUGAUGUGACUCUUGGUACGCGGUCCUCAAGGGCAAAGGGAGGCUGUGUGGCUGGGUCUCUAGCUGGAAGAUGGAAGGACCUGGUGGCAGCAGGCUCAGUUCCUGGGAUUGGGGUCAGGGGACAUUGUGAGCAGAGUGUGUGGUGAGCGUGAGGAGGCUUGAGUUUGUGCACAAGCGGGGCAUCAUCCUCUGACCCUGGGAGGGCUGUUUUUGAGGCCAACUGCCCCUUUGGCUCUUCUCAGCUCCCACUCUUAAGAAUAUCUUCCUGCUAUAGUGGGAAGCUGCCAGAUCCCUCCUGCCCCUUCCCCUGUUCAGGCCAAGUAUGUCCUGCCCUCCCGAGUGGGGAGCUGCCAUGCAGAGGCGGCACCUGGCCUGGUUCUGUCUAGUGUAGGACACUCAGUGGAAAGAGUUUUGGGGUCCCCUCAGAAUUGCACUGCAGGCUCUGGGGCAGUACCCCAUGGUUGGUCAGGGGACAACUGGGGCCAUGGGGUCUAAGAGAUGCCUGCUAAGACUCUGAGGGACAUUCGCUAAGUGGGGAGCCCCUCUCCCUGCGCUGUGAGCUAAGCUGCCUGAGAGAGUGCCAGUGAGAUCCUCUCUCCAAAUAAAGAUAAAAGGGGCUGGGGAUGUAGCUCAGUGGUAAAGUGUCCCUGGUGCAGUCACCGGUGCCAAAAAAAAAAAAAAAAAAGCGUGGUCUUCAGCAGUUGUGUUCAGUGCCAGAAAGUCAGUGUUGGUUGUGCUGUUGAAGUCUUCUGUGUUCUUACAACUCUGAUUCUGGUUUUCCACAGUCGAACACAGGGUUGUGUUAGAAUCUUCCAGUGUGCUUGUGAAUUUCUUCAGUUCCAGGUGUCAAUCUGACAUUAAAUAUCUUGAGGAUACUUUGCUGGGUGCAGACCAAUCUGGAAUUUUAUUUCCCUAGUGAUUGAAGCUUUGAAUAUUGGGAGGUGCUCUGCGUCUUUUGUAGUGUUCUUUUGUAGUGUUCCUCGCCUCAAAGCCUGCUCUACUGUCACUGUGUACCUACUUUAGUUCAUGUUUGCAGCAUGUGUGAGCCUACACACAUACCUACAUGUGUAUGUAUGAGAAGUUUGUAUAUGUACACAUUUAUUUUCACCUUUUCUCUAUUAUGUUUGGACUUUUUAUAUAGCAAAGUGUUGGGUUUUUUUUUUUUCUUUUGGUACUGGGGAUUGAACUCGGGGCCACUCAACCACUCACCCACAUCCCCAGCCCUAUUUUGUAUUUUAUUUAGAGAAAGGGUCUCACUGAGUUGCUUAGUGUCUCACCAAGCCUGAGGCUGGCUUUGAACUUGCAAUCCUCCUGUUUCAGCCUAACCUGCCGCUGGGAUUAUAGGUGUGUGCCACUGCACCUGGCUAAGAGUUGUUUUUUCAAAAUUCUUUCAAAAAUAUUUAGUCUAAGCAGCUCGGGGGGCUGAGGCAGGAGGAUUGCGAGUUCGAAGUCAGCCUCAACAACUUAGUGAGGCUCUAAGCAACUCUGUGAGACUCUGUCUCUAAAUAAAAUAUAAAAAGGGUUGGGGAUGUGACUCAGUGGUUAAGUGUCCUUGGGUUCAGUAUCCCCAGUACCCCCAUCUCCCACAAAAUUUAGUAUGUACUUUUGAUGUGUUAAUUAGCAUAAAUUAGAAUCUGCCAUUUUAUUGUGUACUUUUUGUUUCACCAGCUCUGUAUCUUUUCUUUAUUUCUUCUUUUGAGAUAUUUGAAAGUUUUCAUUUUCCUUUAAUGGCUUGUUACUGUGUGUUCUUCAUUCUGCAUCUAGAAGUCCCCUCAGGUGACAGUGUGCAUUUAUGUCAUCACUGGUGCUUGUACACAGCAUGGUCCCUAGUUGGAUGGUGGCAGCUUAGAAUGUGUCCCUUGGCUUCUCGCCUUCCCCGUCAUGCACUGGCAUUGUUGUGAUGAUAACUCUCCCUGUGUUCCAGAAGGCAUGAGGCAGAACUUGCAGCCAGCGUCUGUGCGGACUUACUCAUGUGUUUGUUCUUCCUUUUCUUUCUAUUCCUUUCUCUGCUUAUGGUUGAAGAAUAUCCCUUAAUAAUGCAGGUCUACUUGGGACCAGUUCCUGCAAUAUGUGUUUGUUGAAAAAUGUCUUUAGGGGUUGGGGCUCAGUGGUAGAGCACUUGCCUACCACGUGCAAUGUAUUCCGUUCCCAGCAACAUGCGCGUGCGCACACACACACACACACACACACAUACGCACACCAGCCAGAUGUGGUGACGCAUGCCUGUAAUCCCAGCAUGCAGAGGCUGAGGCAGGAGGAUCGUGAGUUCAAAGCCAGCCUCAGCAACUUAGUGAGGCCCUAAGCAACUUAGCAAGACCCUGUCUCACCAAAAAAAAAGGCUGGGUAGGUAACUCAGUGGUUAAGUGCCUCUGAGUUCAAUCCCUGGUACCAAGAAAGUAAAAUAAAAAUAAAAAUAUUGUAUCCCACAAAUACAUAGGAUUAUUUUAUUUUAUUUUAGGUACUGGGGAUUGAACCCAGGGGGACUUAACAUCUUAGCCACAUCCAGUCCUUUUUAUAUUUUCUUUAGAGACAAGAGUCUUGCUUAGGGCCUUGCUAAAUUGCUGAGGCUGGCUUUGAACUUAGAAUCCUCCUGCCUCAGCCUCCUGAGUGGCUGGGAUUACAGGAGCGCGCCACUGCGUCUGGCCAUACAAUUAUUUAAAACAAUUUUACGUUUGUCUUAGUUUCUCAAUCUUUUUUUCUUUGAGAAGAACUCUUGUGCUUGCUUCAGCAGCACAUAUACCCAAACUGGAAGGAUGUACCAGUGAGCGUGGCCCUGCCCAAGGAUGGCAUGUACGUUCAUGACACAGGCCUCGCUCAGUUGCUCAGACUGGGUUUGGAAUUGUGAUCCUCCUGCCUCAGCCUCCUGGGGAGCUGAGAUUACAGGUGUGCACAGCUGCAGCAGAGUGCUUUUGCUGGUUAAAGAAUUUUAGGGAUGGACUGAGGAUAUAGAUCAUUGACGGAGUGCUUGCCUAGCCCAUGUUUAAGUCCUAGCACUGCAAAAAAAAAAAAAAGUACAGAAGAGAUUUUAGGAUGGCCACUGUUUGUGUGUGUGUGUUCCUUGAUGUUCUGUCUCAUGGCCCCUGACGUGGCUGCUGCUGUUGAGGCCAGCUGGCCUGCCUGGGAAGGUGUGACCUCUCUCUUCCCCUUGGUACGAUUUUCCUCCACCUUUGGUUUUCAGCACUUUUGCUGAGAUGUGCUUACGUGUGCUUUUAAUUUAUUCUGCCUAAGGUUUGCAGUAGUCCUAAUUUACUUAUUUGCCAUUUUGCAUUGUAUGAUUUGCCACUAAAUCCAUUCCUUGAGUUCUCAAUUUCAGUUAACUGUUUUUAAAUUCUAAAAUUUCUAUUCGUCUUUUAAAAUAAUUUCUAGGUCUCCACCAAAAAUUUGCAGUCUUGUCUUUUUAAUUCCUUGAACACAUAUACUUGUCUGUAAAAGUCAGGGUCUGGCUAAGUUGCUGAGGCUGGCCUCAAACUUGUUCCUCCUGCCUAAGGAUCUUGAGAAGUGGAGAUUCCAAAGGACACACCUAGAUUCAUCUAAUUAUUUUUUAGAGAGAGAGAGAAGUUUAAUAUUUAUUUUUAGUUUUCGGCAGACACAACAUCUUUGUUUGUAUGUGGUGUUGAGGAUCGAACCCGGGCCGCACGCAUGCCAGGCGAGCGCGCUACCGCUUGAGCCACACCCCCAGCCCUCUAAUUAUUUUUUAAAGUUCAAGUGUGUAAAAGAAAAAAUUAAUCUUACUUUAUAUGUGUGUGGUGCUUAUUGACUCCAGGGUCGCACACAUGCUAGGCAAGUGCUGUAUCCUAAACAUACCCCAGCUCCCUGUCCUUUUAAAGACCACGAUUAUUGGGAUGUCUUUUCCACUGUCUGUUGUUAUUUUUCUUUAUAUGUAUUUGGUCAUUUUGUGUAUGCAAAUUUUGGAGAUGAUUUGAAGCUGGAUAAUGUCUUCUUCCUCCAGAUGGGCAACAGGACCUGCAGAGUCAAGGGCAGUGUGGGGUCGUGACCCAGGAGUGAGAAUGCCUAGCAGGCUGUCUGGUAGUGUCCUGCUGAGAGGGUGAGCUGGCCUGUACACCUGGAGCCCUGGGCAGCCUGUGGGGCCCUUCAUGGGCCUGUACCUCCCCCUCAGCGGCAUGGCCCUCAUUGCUCACUGUGCCUGAUGGUGUAGUAUGGUGGACAGGGUCCAUGUCAGGACCAGGGGCCGUAGUGGGCAGUCAGAGCUCUUGCAGCCCAGCCCUGCAGCUGGUGGUCCACUUUCCCAUCUAUAGGCAGGUGCAUUGGAGCCUCUACCAACUAUGGAUAGUGGGAGAGGAAGGGCUGCUCUGUGUGUUGGUGACCUGUAUCGGAGACCAAGUGGCUCACUGAUCUAUGGCCUGUCAGGAUUCUUCACUGAAGUGGUGGGAGGGCUGCUUGGUGGAUGGGCAGCUCCUCACCCUGGAGAGGUUUGUGGAGCGUCCUCGAGUAGCUGGAGUGGGACUUGAGGCAUGGAGCUGGGCUGAGGAGGAGGUGCUGUGGCUGGUGCGCCUUGCCAAGGACAUCUGGAGUGUACGUCUGAAAGUCCCUGGGGGCUGCUCAGUGAGGCUGGGUGCUCUCUGAUGAUGCCCAUGCAGGAGGCCCCUCAGGGAACUCCAGGGAGAGCCUAGAUUUCAGGGUGGCCCAGGACCCUAGUGCUCAGGCUGUCAGGGAGUGGGGAGUGGUCUCCAGUUCUAACUGAGGUCCUGGACAGGAACUGGCGGCCUCAGGUGCCCUAUAGGAUGGAGGGGGCUCUGCUGGUUUUAGGUAGGGCUCUGGGUGGGGUCCACUUGUAGGGGUUAAGGGUGACCCACAGGGUGAGGCUAGACUGGGUGGGUCUUGACCCAACUCUUGCAUCCCACUGUGGCUGGGGCAGCCCUCGGCCAGGUAGCCCGGGGAGAGCAGGGCCAGGGUUGAUGGGGGACUUCUUCCUGGGAGACCUGGCCAGGCCCUUUUCUCUGCUCCUCGCAGGAGCCACUGUGCUGGCUGUCAGUAUUUGCUGGCUGGCCGGCCAUCCUCGUUUGGAGCCCCCAGGCCCCUCAGCCUCCCCACCUCCAUGACUGCAGCUCCCUGGCCUGUGUACUCCUGGGAGCAUGUCAAUGUGGCAUUCCCUCUUAGGAUGGGUUCCAAGGAUGGCCUUGCGUGCUGGACUCUGAGCUGAGAGCUUUCCCUGCUUUUGUUGCUGAACCACUUUGGUGGCUCUGCCUAAGGAGGAAUACCAGCUGUAUGGGUGCCGCUGUUUCAGAAAGGGCCAGGCUGUGUGUGCCUUUUCAGCUGUCAGAGCUUCUAGAUGUUAGGAAGAUCCUGAGAGAGGAGUCUCUGUACACUGUGACCUUCUGCUCCAUGCACUCUGUGUGCUUGGAGAGGGCAGUGGCCAACAGUGCCCUCAGUGAUUGCCAACCGUGACUCUGUUGCUGACAAGAAACUUACUCCAUGCAGGAGACUAGUGCCUUCGCCAAUCGUGAGCAGAGCAGAGCCUCCUGGGUGGCAGAGUCGGUGAUGCCAAGAGGGACUGAGAAAGAACAGUAGCCACAUCUGGGCCCUGUAGAGCCACCUGGGUAUUACCUGCAACGUGGCCCAGAGCUUCCGAGGGCCCAUGAUCUUCCAAAUUUAACAGUCUAAGUGCAUAGAAUUGAUGGAAUGUGUAAAGGAAAUCUAUAACUGGGUACAAUGACUAUAAAUCCAGCAGCUUCUGAUCAUUAAGUGUCCUGUUAUUUGUGGGUUUGCUUGAAAGUCUUUCUCUCAGACCUGGCAGGAAGGAGCCCUGGCUUUGGAGAUAAGCCCUGUGCCUCAGGCUCCCUUUUGGAGCUUCUGACUUAGGGGGUCUGUACAGAGACAAGGGGAUGGGCAGGGCCCACAUACUUGCUUCCACUGCUGGCUAGUCCUUGCAGCCUUCGGGUAAGAUGUCCAGCUCAGGGAGGUGGUCAGGUCAUCCUGCUAUGGGGGGUCUCCUGGCUAGAGGCAGACUGCUGCCCUCCCCAUUCUCUCUUAUCUCCUCCAGGUUGCUGAGUCCCAGAGCCACACAGCCAUAGUGCAAGGGAGAAUGGCUUGCCCACUUUGCCCUGAGGGCUGCGCAUGUGGAGGUAUUGGUUCUGUGCCCAGACCUUGCAGGCCCAGUUUUCUCUCCUGGGGCCAGUGGACAGGCCGUCAUGGACCCUUUGAGCCACCUUUGCUCUGUAUCUUAUCUCGGGCUUUACUUUCUCUUCUGUUGGUGUGAAGGGAGUGGGCUCUGGGGAUAGGGCUGUGAGUUCUGAGCCCCUCAGCCAGGUGGAUGUGGUAGUGCAGUGGAGCCCAGGCCGUGCUGUGCUCCUGCCUGUGUCUAGGCCAGGCCCUCCCUAGGUGGUUCUCUCUGGGGCCAUGAAGGUCCCAGCCUGGCUUUGGAGAGUGCAUUUCGGUUUGGCAGCUGUUGCGUUCUGGGAUCAGCUUUCACCUGUUGCAGCUGUGCUGAGGGGAAGGACUGCAGGAGUGGGGCUCAGGGCCACCUAGGCCUGCUCUGUCUUGGUCACCGUGCUCCAGGGCCCAUCUGAAGCAUGCUGAGGGGCAUCCAUGGGGUAUGGCACUGUGCGUAGCUGUCUGUGUCCCUAGCACACUUGCCUCUCCCAGCCCAUUAACAUGUAGGCCUAGAAGGAAUCUGGGAGAUAUGCUGCCCCGAGUGCCCUGCUUGCCUAUGUGUGGAUAGGGAGACUGCCCCAGGGUCAGGCUGCUGUGUACAAGUUGGGCUGGAACAGACCAGAGUUCUGGCUCCUAUCCAGGGCUGUACCCUCCCUCCCUGCAUCUAUGCAGGUCCUCCAGGCUGCUGUGGGCUCUGUGGCCAGGACUCCCAGCUCCUAGCAGCCUGUCUGUGGGCUCCGCUCCUGUGGGUCAGUCCUGGGCUGCUGUUUUCCUCUCAUGCAUGGUGUGUUCUGAACUGCAUGGGUCUGCAGCAGCCAUGGGACCUGGCAGCUUUCUUCUAAUUGCCCUCUCUGCCUCAGCUGCAGAGCAGUUAAGUGGUAGGUGUCCAUGGGAGUGAGCAGUAGCCUUGGCUCCUGUGUCAGGGUGAGGCUGCCUGUAGAGAAUGGGGCAAAGCAUGACUGCAGCUACUUCCUGGAACCCAGCAACUAGAAGAAAGCUUUGUAAAGACUUGGGGGACCCAGCAGCUGGCAGAGACGCUUUGUGUGUGACUCACAGGAUGCCCUGGAGUUCUGAAUGGCCCUGUGAAGAUACCAAUGUAGACCAUGAGGUGGCUGCAGAUUUACACUGCUGCCUUACCUCCUACCCAUCUGGGAGCCAUGAUGCUGACCUGGGAGGGCCUCAAGGAUCUCAGCUGGGCCUACAGAAAAGAAAGGAAGGACUGUACACCUUGUAGGGACUCUAAACUGCUCGGCCCUGCUCUGCCUGGGCUUCUGAGGACUUGGGCAGGAAGUGCUCCCCUGGCUGAGAGUGAGUUCUGGAGUGUCUCUGGUGAGCCCCUCUGAGCUGUGGCCAUAUCACAAAUUUCUGUCAUUACAUGCCUAGAAGGUUGCAAUAGGAUCAGGGCUCUGUGGGGCAUGUGAGGUGCAGGUGGUCAUUGCUGGGCCCUUCCUUGGGCCCUGGAGGAGGCUACCUAGCCUCUGUGUCUUCCAGGUGAGUGGGGACAGCAGUAUUGUCCCCAUACCUGAGCUUAGGAGCCCAGUCAAGUUCCUCCUACCAAGUCUAGUGGGUGAGGUUAGGUGGGCCGCCAGAUUGUUGGUGCCCGUUUGGAUGUUGCAGGCUGGCUGCUGUGCCACAACCCCUGUGGCACCUGAAAUACCAUUGCCCAGAGUGGGGAGGGGUUGGGGCCCCUGGUUCUCACGCCAGGCAGAUGAGUUAGGGGGGCUGCAGCUGAUGAGGCCUGUUUGGGGACCUGUCUCCAGCCUGACAUUGCAGCUGUUUGCCCUAACCCUAACCUAAUGUGGACUGCCCUGGUGUCCACACCCUCCUCAGCCCAGCACACCCCUCGCCUCCUCUCUCCCUUACUCCUUCCUGCCAAGGCCCUUGCAGGGAGGAAGAUCCUUUGCUUUCGUAGGCUUGGGUUGGGCUGUGCUGUGCCAAGCCCCUUUCUCUCCGGGACAUUCUGUGCCUGGCCUGGUGUGGCUCCCUUGCUCCCUGCUCUAGCAACCUCUCUGCUCCCAGAUAUCUCUUCCAAGAUAUCCCUGGGAGCCAGGAGCAGGCACUGCUGCUGCCGCGGCUGGGGGACUCCAGAGAAGAGGAUGGCCCUGCUUUCAAGGGCAGUGUUGCCUUAAUGGGCUGGCAUACCAGCAAAGCUCUAUUUCCGGCUGGGGGAGCCCCAGUCUCCCCGUGGUCUUUGUUGGGCUAGGGUAAGAGAAGGUCUUGCCAUCUUCUCAAGGGCCCUGGGCUGUGCUGUUAGCUCAGUGCUACAUCUCUGUAGGCAGUUUUUGUUUGUGCAUGUGUGCAUGCUAAAGCAAAAUCAAGUGUAUAAAUGCCUUUUAGAAGCUGUGACAUGAGCUGAGGCAGUCCUAAGGGUGUGGCUUUACCCUGCCAUCUCCAGCCACCAUGGUGGGUGUGUUCCUGGUGCUGUCCACAGGGCAGGCUGUGUGGCCCACAGAUGAAUGGGGCCUAGAACACCCAUUGCCUGACUCCAGGGGCUCCCCUCGCUGCCCUGUAGCCCUGCUUCUCUGGCCACCAGAAAGUCAAGGAGUGGCCCAGAGGGAAACUGAAGAGUGAUCAAGAAAGUCUUGGUUGUCUGGGGUUCCGAAGGAACAUACAGUUCCCCACUGACUGCAGCUGCUUUGUGUAGAUAAUGACUCCAGGCUCUCUCAGAAGCGUCUUCCCUGGGCUGUGACUGGGAAGCAGAGGAGAGAUGCAGGAGAAGGCCAGCUGAGGCACACAGGACGCCCUGUUCUGUGGGAGCUACAAGGUGGGACUGCACGUUGAAGCUGGGGCCACAGGACACCUGGCCAUUCAGACUGUUGUCUGUCCUCAACCUCAGAGUCCAGCCUGGCACUGUCCAUGUAAGGGUCAGGUGCAGCUCAUGGCCAGGGUUGGGGGGAAUAGUCUCAGUUCUUCCUGGGGCAAAUUGAGGCUGGUUCCUAGCCUGGCUACCCAAGAACCACCUAGCGGCUUCAGUGGUUUGGAUUCCUGGGCAGUCUCCUGCACACUGGGUCCCAGGGUCCCACCUCCCCUGUGGCACCUAAAUCACUGGCCUGAAGCCCUGUGGAUGGGCCUCCCCUGCAGCAGGUCUAUGCUGAGGGGCUGCUUCUAAGGUCUGAGCAGGCCCCAGGGGCUCUUCCUGAGUUUCACUUAGGCCUGAGCUGCUGUGCGAGCCCUGGCAGGCCUUGUCCUCUGGGGCUGCCCUGUUACCAACACACGUCUGGGAGUCUGGUCAGCUCAUGAGUAUAGGGGCCCAGGGUCCUGGGGACAUAACCUGUGGAAAAGAGGGGGCGCCCAGCUGUGUGAGUUGGGAUCAUGGUGUAUAUAGGGAUAGAAAUGCCAAGCUGAGGAGCAAGUUGCCCUUUCUUCCCGUGUGCUGCCAUAGCUGGGCCUAGACAUUUAGAGAGGGAGCAGGAGUCAGAGCAGACAGGUUGAAGAGGCCACAGUGGUCCAGCCUGGGCCCCCAGCCCCAGGGAAAAAGUGUCCUAUCCCAGGUGCUCCUUGGGAUCUGAGAUCAGACAGGAUGGUGGGGGGAGGCUACGCUGCAUCCAGGCAGCCCAGCAGUGUGGGAGCAGUCUGGGUGUGGCCCUGAGCUGGGCGGGGCUGCUGGGAAGGGAGGAAGAGCUGGGGCCCUGAACUUGCCCAGUGAGCUCACGCUGGCCUGGCCCCUUUCUCAGGAAGGCCUGCGGGGAGGUGAGGCAGGGUUCACGCCUGGUUCACACCCUGUCAGGGCCCUGCUCUGGCCCUCACCUGGCCUGUGGUCACCCUCUGAGAAUCCCCUCAACUGCCCCUGAACUGUUCACUCCAGUCUGUAGAGGCCAGGAAGACUCCUCAGGUGUCGCCUUCCUGGUCUGACAGGCUCUGCUGACCCACCUUGCGAUGGAGGACACGCAGCACAUGGGAGACCCUGUGCUGUUGGGCAAUGCCACCUCCUUUCUCCCCUGCCCUGCUUUUGAGGUCAGGUAGAGCGAUGGCUAAAGGCGAGUGAAGACCCACCCUCUGUAAUCUAUAGUGACUGUCACACAGCAAACUACUCCCAUUUCAUACAGGCGGGUCAGGUGUCAGCGCGCGAUCGAUGGCUUGCGCACAAUAAUUACAGGAACUAGCUGCUUGUGUUGCUCGAGUGACUUUAGGAAGAGUAGGGUCUCAAUCUUCCCUCUAAUAGGGCUCUGACAGUCCGAGGCAGCAGUGGCGGCUUCGGUGGCGCCGUGUCUCAGGCUGACAGUGUUGUCAUUAAACACCAGGUAGCGUGGAACAACAGAGAACACGGAUCCCACACAGGGGGACAGGGCAACUGGCAGCAGUUAUUUGUCAUCACUGAGCUGCCCAGACUCGUCAGACUGCUGUGCGGACAGCUGCUUAGGGUGACUUAUGGCCCUGUCUGGGCUGCUGUUGUGAUUGGAUAACCUGUAAGCGUUUGUCAAAGAUGGAUCCCCAUUUCCAUGGUGUUGCGAGGAAGGCUGGUGAGCAGCCAGCUGUGGGCGGGGGUGCAGGGCUUUCCCUUCCUAUGGCAGCCGCUUGCCCACAUCACCUGGGGUGCUCCCAAGUGGCUGGAGCUUCUCAGUCCCCAACCAGGCUCCCUGGAUGGGCCUGGGUUAUGACACUUGAUAGACCCACUCCUCCGCUCAGGGCCUGGAUCUUUCUGCCAUCUCUGUCAGGGGGUGAGCGCGCGCACCUGCACACGCACAUUCAAGUCACUAUCUUACAUAGAUUCUGACUGGGAGGCAAGCGGCCUGGCCCUGCAGCCAUCUGUGUGACUAGCGUUUCCCUCUGUGCUGGUCAGGUCAUGAGGCAAGUUUUCUGCCCAUGUGGGAUCUUGUAGGGUUGUUCUAGCAGCUGAUGAGCCCACUGUCUGCUCUGCCUUGCUAAGUGACCUGCUGGCCCAAGGGGCCUCUGGUGGCCUCAGCAUUCAGGAUCAGGGUAUUUGAGGGUGCUUAGAAUGGGAUCCAGCUGCCCUUCUUUGGCCAUCACUAGGUGUGAGGUACUCAGCCCUCUGCUUAUAAUAGGCCUGUUCCCGGGUUUGAAGCACUGGAAACAUCAAGUGCAAGAAAAGUGGAGUGAUUUAUUAGACUCAUAAAAAUUCAUACUUUGUGAUUCCAGUUAUCCCACAUCUGAAGCUUGUUAGACCACAGUCCCUGGCAGCUCCUGCCGCGCCAGGGUGGGGGCAGGGUGCUCACCAGCAGCCCCUGCCUUAGCUGCCAUCCUGGCUCAUUUAGAGAAAUGGACAGGACCCUGGAAGCACAUGAACGACCAUUCUCAAAGGAGGGUGGGCAGGGGUCUUUGUUAGGUGAAUACUGCUGAGUUAUCAUGGCAAGAACAGGAGGCAGCCAUGUCCCCUGGUGCCCUCUGCACCUGCAACUUGGACUGGAAGUGGCCUGGAGUUGAGACACUGAGUAUGGGUAGGCCCUGGGGUGGGCGGUGCCCCUGUGUGCAAGCAGGUAGGGCUCUGUGGGCACCAGUGGAGGUUGUCAUGGAGGAUGUGGGGUGCCGCUUCAGUUGUUUCCAGGCUGGGGACUGUGGGAGUUGAGCCCUUUUAUAUCCUUGAGAGGCCCCUGCAAAGGCUGUUUGUACAGGUGCCCACUUAGCCUGGCCCGAUCUGGACCUAUUUACUGGCAUCAUGGGCAGGCUGUUCCUCACCUCUAAGGCCUUGCCAGCUUCCCCUAGUAUACUGAGAGGCUGGUGUGCCCCUCAGCUCUGCUUUGUGGCUGUCACUGUUGAGUUCUGCGAGGGUGUGGGGGAUGGAGGGCUCUCCCCUCUCAGGGCAGGGAUGUUCUAUCUGAGCUGACCAGAACCAGGCAGAAACAACCCUCUGCCACAUCCUUCCCUACAGAACAGUGGAGGGGCCUGGAGGAGGCCUCCUGCUGGGCCCACUUUGCUUCUGCUUUCCCCAGGAGCUGUCUGGCCUCCACAGCCCCCUGGGCCACCAGCAGGGAAUGGGUGUCAUGCAUGAUCAGCUCACAGUGCCGUGCUCAUCGCCACCGAUCACUGCUUCCCCUUUCUGCACCCUGAGGGCCCUGCUGCUGGCCACCUGCCAAGACGGAGGGCCAGAGGCAAGGUGGGUGGGGCAUUCUCCCGCGGGGUCCAUGCUCUUUCAGGAGGAGAACGGCUGCUGCAGAUGUCUGGCUGGGUGCUGGGAGGAGGAGGCAGAGGCUGGGAUUCUGGAUUGGGCAGGGCAAGGCAGGAGCCCAUGGGCAGGCCUGGGUCCAGGCUAAGGGUCUGACCUUCACAUCACCUGGGUUCACGUGGUAGAGUUGGUUACACUGCCUCUCCAAGACCAGAAGCACAGGGCUCUUCCCUGUCCCUCGCUUGCUGCUCUCCGUUUCAUCUCUCUCAUCUUCUUCACUUCUCUUCUCCUCUGUCUGGGCCUGUCUGCAGCCAUUCUUUGCCAUCUGUCUUUGGGAGCUGAGGCAUGCACCAAGCCCUGAACUGCCUACCCAGCAGGCUCCCUUCCCCUGGACCUGGGAUGCUGAGAAACCACCUUGCCUGGUGUCUGUAGGAACCAGGCUGAUGGUGCCUCAUGGGCGCCUCACCCCCCAGACACACCCCUAGGCUGUGAGCUCAGGGGCUUCAGGGCUGGGUCCCUGGGACUGUUAUUCCCUCUGGCUGGCCCCAGAGCACAGUGCCCUAGUCCUAGCAUGGUGACGUGGCUCAGGUUGGCACAAAACUGAGGCAGCUACAGGAGGGAGAGAUUCAGGCAGGGCAUGAGUGGCCCUGCUCCUGUCAUUUCACAGGAGCUGCUGGUCAGUCUUCCUGGUAAGUGGGUAGCUGAGCCAUGGAAGUAGGAAAUGACCCCACACAAUGUGUCCUUUGUGUGCACUUGCGGUUUGGGCAGGAGCAAGCCUGCUGUGUGGCAAAGCCACAGUCAGAUACUGAGGGCUGAGGGUGGGAGGCUCCAGGCUGUGACUCCAGACACGUUUUGUCAUGGGUCUGCUGUGGGUGGAGCAGGCUGGGGAGAAGCAGGCCUGAGCCAGGAGGGACCACAGUGGCAGCCUGGGAUGCGUGGAGUGGUGGGGUCAGAUGGCCUAGGUGUCCCACAAGGAGUGUGGGGCCCCACUGUGACAUGAGUAUUUGAGCUCACGUUAUUCGGCUAUCUUCUUGGCUUCCUCCCACAAAUGUGCACGUCAGAUGGCUCCUCUGGAAGCCCUGCCUUUUGAAACAUGUCUCAGUGGAGUGGCCCUCACUCUGGGGCGGGGGUGAGACACUGUGAUAGGGAAUUGGCCGACUUCGUCUUCCACUCCUUGGCUGGAUCUUGUUGUGGCUCCAGACCCCGGCAGUCCUCUCCAUCCCAGCAGGCCACACAUAGGCUAUAACGUGCUGAAGUGGGCUGCCCUGCCUGGGAUACCCCAGGCUUGUGGGUAGGACCUCCCUGCCUGUGCUGGGCAGAGCCUCUCCUACCCCAGGAGAGGCACUUUGCCUAUGCCACCCUCAGUGAGGGACAGGAAAUCCUGCUGACACUGCCUCCACUCUGGCUGCAGUAAUGGGCACUGUGCUCCCGCCAGGCCUGCAGCCUUUGCAGACAGCUCAGAUGUACGUCACGGUUUUAAAUUCUGGAGCAGAGGCCUCUCAGAAAUGUAUGCCACACGUUCUGUUUAAGAUUUUGUGGCCAUUUUUCUAAGAGUGCAAUUCAGCAAUUGUUGGAGAGGAGGCUGCCUGACAGACCUUGCUGGCACUGCGUGCUGCACUGGCUCUGUAGGCAGGGCCCCAGCGUGCGGGCUUUGUGUGCCUUUGCCUGUGUGAAGUGUGCGGCCCGUCUGCAGCAGCCUUGGGGAACUUGGGGUUCCUCUUGACUGCAGCAAAGGAGAAAGGGCCUCUAUUGCCCCCACCCAGGAAGUGGGACUUGGAUGGAGUGAAACUAGAGGCCUGAAGGGAUGGGAGCCCCAUUGUGCGGUCUCGGGGCCCUCUGAGAAUCUAUCCAGCAGUCACUGAGCUCAGGUUUUUCCUCCCUCCUACUGUUCUCUGCAUCUUGCAUAUUCUGGCCCAGAUAGGCUGCCGGGCCCCUCUUCUCACUGUUGUCCAGCCUUGCCCUUCAGCACUCUCUUAACCUGAAUAAGGAGGGACAGUAUAGUCCCUUAGGCUGAGCCUUUGAGCUAGGUGCUUACUGAGUGCUGGGUGAGCACAUACCAGCCAAGGUUGGGGGGAGCCUCCCAACUCCUAGCCACCCCCAGCUUCGCUCCCUGCUUCUGCCAGCAGGAGCCAGGGCACUCCUGUCUAGGACUGUCCCUACUUCUUAAGGCCCUGCACUUCUCCAAUAAUCCUGGCCUGUGCCUGGAAACCUCAGCCUCUCGUGCCCCUUUGAAGCCAGGCUCAGAGUUGCUCUGGAGGUGCACUUGCUGGUGCCACUCAUUUUUGGUGUACCCUGCGCUGUGGAACACUGUCUGUUGUAACCACACUGAUUGGCAACUAAAGGCUGUUCUGGGAGGAGGCUUCUGCCUUAAGUCCUGCAGCUAUGAGUGUGGAGGUGUGGCCACCUGAGCUGUGGGUGGCAGAACUGGUGCCUGAGGUAGAUGGAGGAAGAGGCCUUACAGGGGAGGUUGGCACAGGAGAGGUGUGGGUGGUGGCGCAUGUGCCCGCUAGGGAGCGCUUGACCUGGGACCUCUGCCUUCCCUCCAGGUUCUCCGUACCCUACCUGUCUAUCAAGCACUCAGCAGCCCCCUGCCACCCAGCUGUGCAGUGGAGGGAUGGGGCCCGUGGCUGCUGCUCACUGCUCGCACCUCAGGCUCAGGUCACGUCUCUCGGGGCACGGGUACCAGGAUAGGCCCUAGGCUGGCACACAGCUGGCAUUUUGUCAGAAAGGACAGUGCUGGUGGGGGAAGGAAAGGCCCUUUGGACUAGGGCGUGUGGAAGCUGCUGUGGCUGGUAAUGCUGACUGCUCAGGGCUGCUGUGCCGGAGAUUGAGGUGGGGUGGGCCCCAGGGCCCUCCCUCCAAGGGGACAUCAGAGGCCAAGGGAAAGGGUGCUGUCAGCUGAGAUGUAAGUGGACUAGGAGGGAGGAGGGUGUAUGGAGCAGGAGAGCAGAAAUCAAUAUGGCUUCUAAAGGGCUGAGCCGUGACAGCCUUUGAGGGCUGUCUUCAGCCAGGGAAAGGUACAUAGACAGUUUGGAGAUAUUGAAGAAGUGUCAGGGUAGCUGUCGAUAAAAAGCAGAUUAGGCAAUAUACAAAGAAAGUUGAAUCAUACCAGAUUGGGGGCAGAAGCCUGACCGGACCGAAAGCCCGAGCCCAGCAGCUAUCCCUGUGGCCUGCCCUCAGCCCAAGAAAGGCCCUCAGCCUGGGCAACACUGCAGAGGCCUGAGAAGCUAGCACCUGAUUGCCCCUGCCCUGCCCACUCUGCCUGCAUAUGGGCCUACUCCCUAGGGCCCCUGUUGUUAGGAACUUGAUGUGGUUUCCAGGGUCCCUUUGGGCAGGUCAUAUUCUCCCUGGAGGCCCUAUCUUCCUGGCCCACUGGCAUGGGUGAUUCGUAGCUGACCCCUGCAAAUUCUGUGCUCAGGUGCGAGUCAGGGACCAUUUCCUAGUUGUUUUCAUCCCCAAACUGGGACUAGGGGCUUCUAGAACAGGGCAAUGGGGACAGCGCCUCCUGUCUUCCUAUGGGCCACCUUAGUACAGAGGCCUCCUGCUCCCCUGCCUGUUUCUGGGGCUCUGGUGUCAGUGGGGUCUAGGGGUUGCUGGACAGGAAGCUGGGUCUGCAGCUUCUUCCUGAGCGCCAACUUGUGUUGUGCUUUCUUGAUACAGCUGGUGCUGCUUCCUCAGCUCCUAGGCUGGUUUGUGGAGGAGGAGGGGGCAACCUCUUCUCUCUUGGGUUCACCAUCAGCCUCAAAUGGUUCUUUGCACAAAGUAGUAGUUCCAGGUUCAUCUUAUUCAUUAACCAGUUGUGAAAUUAGCAACUCAUUUUCUUUAGCUAGUUAUUUCCCUUUGCGGUUCCAUGAAAAUCUGAACUGUUUCUCAACUCUCAUCUGCACUAAAGCAGAUUAAGAGUGUGGCCUUCCAGCCUAGAUGCCCUUCAGUAGAUGAAUGGAUAAAGAAAAUGUGGUGUGUGUGUGUGUGUGUGUGUGUGUGUGUAUACACACCCACCCCCCCCACACACACACACACCACACACUGGAAUGUUAUUCAGCAUUAAAAGAGAAUAAAGUCCUGGCAUUUGCAGGUAAGUGGAUGAAGCUGGAGAAUAUAAUGCUAAUUGAAGUUAGCCACUCCCCAAAAAACAAAUGCUGAAUGAUUUCUCUGAUUUAAGGAUGCUGAUUUGUAAUAUGCUGCGGGGGGGUGGGUGGGAGGAUUAAAUGAACUCUAGAUAGGGCAAAGGGGAGAAGGGGAAGGGAGGGGGCAUGGGAGUAGGAAAGACGGUGGAAUGCGAUGGUGGAAUGCGAUGGUUAUAAGUACAUGCAUGAAGGCACGAAGGAUGUGACUCUACUUUGUAUACAACCAGAAGUAUGAAAAAUUGUGUUAUAUAUGUGUAAUGUGAGUUGUGAUGCAUUCUGUUGUCAUAUGUGACAAAUUAAAAAAAAAAAAAAAAGAGUGUGACCUUGGUCUGAAGGACUCCACCAUCUGUGAUGGAGCCACCUGAGGAGGGAAAGCCAGGUUAGUGUACCUGCAUGCAGACUGUGAGCAGUGGGUGAUGGGGUAGAAUCUGACUGCUGGGCUCCUGUCCCCUCCUGUUACCCAGUGCAGUCCCACCUCUCUGGGCCCAGUGGCCUCCCUCCCCGUCUGUUCUCCAAGAAUGAAGUACUCCUGUACAACUAGCUUUUGGGGUGCCUCAGGCUACCCCUUCGGGCCCCCAGCCCUUCCUGGGAGUAGGGGAGAGGAGGAGGAUGCAGUCUGCAGUUGGGCAGUGCUGUGGGCAAGAGCUGGAGCCUUCUGAUAGAUGGGGCUCAUAUCCCAUUCAAAUAUGAUGCCAGCAGUUUUUCUGUAGUUUGUCUUCCAUUGCGGUAGUAAAGUUUUUAAUUAGGAAAGCUAAUGAGAUCGAUUAGUCAUUAGAAGUGACCUCUGGACGGCGGGUGGAGAGGGCUGCGUGUGUGGGCCUGAUAACGCGGAGCGGGCAUUGGCGGCAAUAAAGGCACAAGGGGCUUGAUUUGAGUGAAGCGUGCCGUGGGGGAUACAUCAUGCAGAGAAAAAAAUCACAGCCCUGGGAGUCUGUAAUGAAGGGAAUUAAACCAACAUCCUAUCUAAAUAACAUGAUUAUCUACACAAAACCCUCAGCCAGCAAGGGGUGGGCGGCCUGUGUCCUCGAGGAGGAGGGCGAGGCCCUUCCUGUCUGCAAGCUGGGCUGUCCAGCAGCCCUGCAGCUUUGCCUUCUGCCCACGGGGCAGCCCCAGCCUGCUUCCGGAGUCUCUGUGUGUACCAGGCAAAGUCUUAGGAGUCCUGGCUCCUGCCUGUCUCUGGGGCCUGGCCCAGGUCGACCCCACAGCCCAUUUGUCUAGCUUGUGUCCUCUAGGGUCACUGAGUGCAUUCACACUGCCAUCUGGGAAGGGCAGGACGAAGUCCCCCGCUGGGCAGGCUGUAGGGGACGUAGCUCCACUGUGGGGCCAGCGAGGGUUGUGUCCUCCCCUCUGUGUCCCACUCCGAUGGGAGGCCUGCCCCCCAGGACCACAGGAGAGGUGAGGAUUUGUGGGAAGCACACCUCCCAACCCUGACCAGUGACUAGAGGCCACUUUCUAAAAGGGGGUCAGCUUUGUUACUUGUAUUUUCUUGGCAGGGUCAUUGGGCUCUAGUGAGUCAGCGCAGGAAGUUAGUGAAGACGUCUGACCUGAUGCUGGGCCCCGCAGGUAGGGCAGGCCAGAGCCUGAGCUCCUUGCUGCCAUCCACGUGCUGCCUGCUCCUGUCUGUUCCAUCUGGGGACGAGCUUCUGGAAUUCAGAGUGGUGUCCUCUGGGUAGAGGGGGCAAGGGGCUUCCUAGAGGAGGUAGUAUCUGCCAGACCAGGGGGAGAAAAUGGACUUCGACCUCUGAGGUCAGGAUAAGGUGAAGAUGUGCACUGGGGAUUGGGAGCAGAGCCUGGCCACGUCUGGGGAGGCCCCGGUGGGCUAGAGCCUGGCUGUGUGGUACCAAGGGGUGUGCCUGUGCCUGGCUUUGUGGUCUGUCCCAGCAGUAAGGUAGGCAGCCCUUGGAGGCCUGAAUGGAAUGUAGUCAGAGGUGGCUGCAGAACAGCAGGUGGGUGGCCUGAUGCCUCCCUGUACACCUGGGCACCCUGGGGUUGGGGAACAGGCAGGUGGAGCCCUAAGCUGUGUUCCGGUGGGUACCCCGUCCCCGGCAAGAUGCCAGACAAGAGAGUGGGGGAAAGAGAGAAACCGGCAGGAGCUGGACCAGGCUGCCCUCUUCUUUCAGACAGAAGCAGGGAGCCUGGGGCUGGUCUCAUGGGGCUGAGGUCGGCUUGGGUUAUUGAUAACUUAAGGAAUCUCGUGUUCUUGAGCUCUUAGUUGGAACUAGCUAUUAUUGAUUUUUGUUGGUCUCUCCUUGCUUGUAAGACCUUGAAAAUUCAAUUCAACAAACAUUUAUUUAUUGACACCCACUAUAUACCAGGCUGUCCCUGGUGUACCAAGCACGUUUAGCUCAGAGCUAAAGAUUCAUUGGCUUUGGUCUCUCAGUGAGGACCAGGGGAUUCCAAGUUCCUGUUUUUCCCCUGCUACCCCAGAGUCACUGUCAUCAUAGGCUUGGGGGGCGGGAGGCGCAGGCAGGGAAGGGAAGAGACUGCAAGGGGGACAGACAGAGAGAGGGGAGGUGGAGGGCUUCUGUUGCCGGGCGUGGUGGCAGGCAUAAGGAACUGGCUGCAUCCAGUUGUCGCUGUGGCCUCCCCUCAGUGGGCGGCUGCCUCUAGCUUGUGCCUUCAAUCCUGGGGACUAGAAGUGGCCCCAUAUCCACCACUCUCAGGCCACCUGGCCCCACCAUCCCCCUGAUCCAGGCUGGGAAUGUGCAGCCUACACUCCCUCCCCUUGUGCCACUGGGGCAGGCUCUCUGGGUGGCUUUGCCCUCUGGGUGGCCUUGCCCUCUGCCUGACCCACCAGCAUGUGGGCUAGUGGAGGCCUUGGUAGAGGUUACAACCCCAGUAGAAGUUGGGGGGACCCUGAGGGGCUUUUGCCAACAUCUGGACGAGGAGGGGCAAUAGCACUUCAGGCUGCAUGGGUGAGGGCACACUGGGCACGGGGCUCAUCUGCUCCCUGCUCUUCCUGAGGACUGCAUGGCCAUGGUGCCACCUCAGGAGUCUGGGCUGAGGGAGGUUUGCUGGUGCAGAGCUCUGGGCAAGGGGUCAGAGGAACUGUAGCAGCUGCUGCUCUGCAUAUAGAGCAGGGAGGGGGGGCAGGUGAGGGUCCCCAGGGCAAGGGGAAGCUGGGCACAGACUAGAAGGAAGCCAAGGCCACCCAGGCAGACCAGGCAGGGGCUCCUGCUUGGGGCCAUGUGCCCAGGGCUGGAGGGACAGCCAUGAGAGGUGGCCGUGUAAGCUUUAAUUAUCUGGACAGUUAGAGCUGUACAUUAUGAAAGUCGGGCAAUUAGACUCGUUCCUUGAAGCUAUGGAGAAAUUGCUGGCUAUCAAGUGGAAAGGAACUCAGGCAAAACAGAUCCUUGCUAAUUGCCUGAAACAUUCAGCAAGAAAAAAGCUGUUGUGGAUAUCGCCCUGCAGAAUGUUAUGAAAACAGUGAUUAAGUACAUAAAUCUGCCUGGGCUGGUGGUAGCAAGGUGCCUGGAGAGCAGGUGAGCUCUCUGGGGCCCCUCCCACGUGUGGGGCCACAAUGCCGGAGCGCCAUCUGCCCCAGCCUCCUGUACCAGCCCUGGAGUUUGGAGCCUGGGGGGGGGGGGAAUGGGGGUUCCCGGUAUGGAUGCUCACCUGGGACGUCCCCCUGUGGGCUGUUACCUGGCUUGCUGGGCUUCUCUGCUUUCCCCUAGGCUAGGCGGUCGGUCACUCAGCAUUCUCACCCUGCCUGUCAGGUGACUGUGACUGUGAGGAUAUGUGGAGUCUGUGCCCCACUCUCCUGGAGGCCACACCGAACCCUUGGCUGCCAGGCUCUCUGGGACCAUGGGGCCAUGUAGGACCAGGUUGGAGCCAGUGGGAGAUGUGAUGGCCAGCUCAAGGGCGGCCUUGGGCCCCAGGACCCCCCCUGCUGACCUCCUCUAAGCUGACCUGUGUCCUGACUUUUCUCUGUAGUGGCUGGCAUGCACACCUUGCGGACUCCACCCGCCAGUAAGGUGAUCAAGACUCGCUACCGCAUCGUCAAGAAGACGCCAGCUUCUCCUCUCAGUGCCCCACCCUUCACCCUGUCUUCACCCUCCUGGCGAGCCAGGCGGCUCUCACUAUCCAGGUAGGAGGACCUGGCCCAGACUCCUGGGCUGUUUGGGCAUUGAGGGCUGCAGGUGGGGUCCCAGGGGUGCAGGAACAGAGUGCACCCAGGGAGCUGCAUGGUGUAUAGCAUGUUGGCUGGCAAACAGCCUGUUUUUUCUGUUUGUUGAGCAAUUUGUGCACCAGACAUAUGGCCAGCUUGUGUGUACUGCACGCACACGAAGACACUUAUGCUUGAGCGUGUGCACGUGUGCACACACCCUCCCCUGUUGUUGGCAAGCCUGUUAGCUGGUGGGGCCUCCUGUGCAGUGCUAUGGAAGCAGCCACUGCCCAGACAGUUGGGGACCCCAUGAUGGUCUUCCCUUGGUCAUCUCUCAGAGAGAAACUUCUGGUGAGAGGCCAGGCCCUGAGUAGCCUGUCUGGAAGCUGCCAGUGUGUCGAUUGUCGAGGGCAGUUCUGUGUGGCUCCUCCUUGCCCCGCCCCAGCUGGAGCACAUGCUGACCUGCUGCGGCUGCUGUGUCCAAAAGCUGUGGGGGGGUGGGGGCAGGGGCGGGCAGCCCCCAAAGAGGAGCCUGUGCUGCCUUCUUGGGGCCUCCCUCUGGUUGAGGUCUUGCCACCCACUAAUAGAGGUGGCCCAACUUCUGGGCCCCCAGAAGCCAGGCCCUGGAAGACACAAGAGUCCCUUCCUUUUGUUGCAGUGGGAGCAUCCCACCUCCAGCCUGGGGAGGGGUGGUGGGGAGAUGGGAAGCAGGCAGUGGCCAAGUCCAGCUCUGGGGGGAUGGAGGGGCCAGAUGCUGUGGGGCAGGCCCACUGGGCCAAGUGAUGCGUGCAGGGUCCUGCCACCCUCUAUAUGGUGGCUGCUUGGCCAUUUCCCCUGCUGCUCUCCAAAGGAUUCCAGGCCUGAGGCCAAUCCCAGGGGAUACACCAGGCUGUGUGGACAGAGCCCUGUCUGGGUCUGGGGCCUUUGGCAGGCCAGCCCACCCAGUUUUCUGUCUGAGGCCUACUGGCCUCCCUUCUGGCAACACUAGGUUUGGCCCUGCUGCUGACUUUUCUGGAGGCAAUAGCUGGAAGUAUAUUUUAAAUUAAUUUUACUGCACUUUUUGUAAUAUUUUUGUUUUAAAUAGAUUUAUAUGCAUCUUGGGGGCUAUUUCUACAAAUUUAUGAAGAUAAUUUUUACUCUCUCGAUAAGGUUAAAUUUACACCUGCUAUUUCCAUAUUAAUUCACAUUGCUAAGUGGAUCUAAUUUUCUUCCGUUUCUCUAUCUGGUGAGCAUGGCCUUUCCUAAUGCAAUUUCCCCCUCACUAAAUCACUGUGAUCGGGAGUCAUGAUCGAGCUAAAUUAACUUAAAUUAAUUUACUUAAUAAGAGCUCCAGAUCAUCGUGAAUGAGGUUCAGAUUUAUGGGUUUUCAGCUCCUGAGAACCUCCCCUCCGGUGAUCGGCGUUUGGCCUGAUGUCCCUCUUCUCCCAGGGGCAUGCAUGGUCAGGGGCCUGAGGUGACCUUCCUCAGAGACCUGAGGCCAGGCCCUAGUGGGUGAGUAGGUCCUGCAGGAAGGUGGCUGGUGCGGCCCAAGGGCUGCAUGUGCACCUGCACCAUGCAUGUCAGCUGUAAGUUGCAAGACCUUCUGCGGAACUGAGCUCAUAAGGUAGAGAGUAGGCAGUGGCUCAGCUGUGAGUGUGGCUGGGCAGGAGGCAGGGAGCACCGUGCCCUUGAAUGGCUCAAGUCCCUCAGUCCUUGUCCAGUAGCCUGACUGUGGGCUCCUGGCCUCAGUGCCCUUCCUGCACAUGGAAGCAGGGUGGAGCCUCCCCUGGGAGGGUGUGUGAAGAGGCCCUUUCUCUCUUUCCUGACUGCCUCACCCUGGUUCUGUCCAACACCUUGUUAGACAUCCAGGACCCUUGAGGUUAUGAUCCCUGGGCCUGGGGUGGGUUGGGGAAGGGAGCUGUCGACUUCCUACUUACGUCCAGAGACCUCCGGAUCGAUCUCCCCAACGGUCACCCGACCCGGAAGAAAGGGGUUCCAGUAGUACGGGACUACACCGACGCACGAGUCGUCACACCGACAGUUGGUCGACGGACCGGACGACAACCGACGUACACGGACCCGGACCGAACAACUUCAUCGUCUUUCUCGGACAGAGACCCAGGUCACCGACUCGACCACGGGCUGAAGGAUGACGGACGUGAGGUAGUCUCGGUCCCGGUGGACGUACACCAACCGUCCAAGUGGAGUGACACCGGAACUGGGACGUCAAUGAGACGGGGAGGGACUCGUCACCCUCCCUAAUCCGGUCACUACCCUGAGUCCGAUGGUGUCUGAUUUCCGAUGUGCAGUGGUAAGAAAGCAGGGCUGGCUACCUGAACUCUACUUACCCGUGCUCGGUCCCCCACCCUGGGAGGCAGGCUGUAGACACAGGUGGGAAGUGAGGCAGGGUGGCCCAGUGGCCAGGUGCUAGCUCAAGUGUGGGGUGGCCCCUGCUCACCCCUGGCAGACACUCACUGUGUUGCAGAUUUGGUCACUCGAGAGGGAAGGGGAAUCUGCCAUCCCACGAUGGGCUGAGUUACCGUGGGCAAGCCUCUUUCCACCUGGAGCCUCAGUUUCCUGUUCUGCCCUUGUGAGGGGAUGGCAGGUGGUUAAGUGCAGUGGCCAUGGGCACCUGUGUGGAGUCAGAUGGGGCCUCAGAGUCCUUGGGGCUGCUGCCUGGUGAGCAGCCUGUUGGCCACGUGCUGAGCAGGCCUCCUCGGCUCCACACAACUCCUGCUCCUCGGCUUUGGCAUGUCCCUGCCCUCCUUGGAGAGGUUUUCCAGGCUUGGGUCUGGUGGAAAGCACAGGACAAGGACUGAACCUUGAGGGCCUGGAAUUUUGUUGAUUGAGGAGGGGACAGGGAAAUGGCAGCACAGUUUAUGGGGAAGCUUGGGCAGGUCCCCCAGAACUCCUCUCUUGCUGCCUAUGGCAGCUCUUGCCGGUCCUAUCCUGGGGCCUUUCUGUGCCCCUCCCUUCCUUCUGUUCCCUGCUGAGUGCCAAGGCUUUUACAACUUGGAGAGGGGUCUGGGAGACGCCCUGGGUCUGCUGGACCAGCCAGAGCCCUCAGGACCCCUCUUCAGGCCUCACUGUUGUGCUGGGAAGGGGAGCUCUUUGUGCCCUGGGCUGUCAGCGCUCCUCUUGUUCUGGGGAGAGGACACAGGGUGCUCAUCUGUACUGCUUUGGGGAAGUUGCAGAAGCUCUUCUUCCCCUCGCUGUGGCAGCUCCAAGGCCUGAGAUGGGUGGUGGCGUAGCUGCCCACUGCGGCUGUUGCCCCCGCUCUUUUGCCCUGUGAGGCAUUUGCUCUCGGCACCUUAGAAAGGUGGCAGGCAUUGUGAGCCAUGUUGACAGCCAUGCUUACAGGAAGGGAUGGGCAGCUCCCUCCCACCACUAGUGCUCUCUGCACUGGACAUGGAGCAACAGGGGCACAGAAGGUCAUCUGGGAGUCAGCUGGUGGCCUUAGAUUGUCUCAGCUAGUCAGUGUUUGUCCCUGUCCAGACAGGAGGCCAGAGGCUGCUGAGCAGAGCCCUUAGGUCUUCUGGGUGCUGCCAGCCAGUACCUCUGAGGAUCGAUGUGCCCACUGAGGCCAUUUGCCCUGGCCGGACAAGCAUGUAUAAGCCAGGGACAGAGAGAGAGAGGGCAAAAGGGACUCUGCCUUUGAGAGGCAGUGUCGGUGGUUUAACGUCCAUCCUGGCCUGCAGACGUCUGGCCUUGGGGCUGCUUGGGUGUAGGGGCAGGUGAUGAUGGGAGCAGUGCAGGCCAUUGCCACCCAGCCCUAGGAGGCUGCUGUGUAGGAUCAGGUUGCUCUGUGGAAUGAGGUGCCCGCCUCCUGCCUGGGGAACUAGACUGGACAGGUUCAGCAGGACAGAGCUGUUGCUCAGGCCCAGUCCCUGGGAACCCACAGCACAGGCUGCCCUGCACUCCCCCAUCUUCCUGUGGCAGUCCUGAGGACUGAAUCACACUGCUGCCUGGGCACAGGGCCUGUCCCCGGGGAGCCAGACCCAGAACCAGCCCAGGGGCUCCGAGCGUGUCUGUGUGCAGGCCUGGGAUCUGAGGUGCACGGGCAGGAGGCCAGCAGAGGGUCCCUCCCGAGCCCUCCCAGGACUGGGGCUCACAUCCACGAGUCAGUUUUUUGUUGUUCUGAGAUUUGUGGAUUUGCUGUGUCGUCGCCAGCUCCCAGCAAGUCCAUUAAUCUGAACUGAAGCUGAAAUGUGACUUAUAUCCCUAAACUGCCUGUCACUUUUUUUCUCUCUCUAAAUUCGUUUGACAUGAAAGUGCGAAAUAAACAGGAGCUGCUGUGCUUAAGCAGAUGAAUCGGAGGCUUUUCCAUCCGACUACAAAUGGUCCUGUCACAGGCUCUUGCUGGCUGGGCUGCCUUAUUUUAUUUUAUUUUAUUUUGUGUCUGAGCAGUAAAUCUUAAGUAAUCUCUGUGCAGUUUGACGAGGUUUAGGCCAAGAUUUUGAAAGGCUCUGAAACACUUCUCCGAAGUGACGUCUCAUUAAAGAGGAUUCAGGCUGGCGACGGGAGGCAUCCCUGCCGCCGUAGUCCUGGCUCCUGUGUGCUCCCCUCUGUGUGUCUCCUUAAUGAGGGGUUUGCCCACACAGCCCAGCCACCAGCCACUGCACCGCUCUGCCUCCUGCCUGCUCCCUGGUACAUGGCGGCCCUGACAGCAUCACCAGCUGCCCACUUAACAGCAGGCAUGCACCUCUUGAGGCUCAGAAAGCUGGCAGUCUGAGAUCAGAGUGCCCACAGAUUCAGUAUCUGGUGAGGGCCUAUUCUGGUUUUCUGGGGGACUUCUGUCGUUGUCACAGGCAAGGAGAGAAAGGGGAAGGAAGAGGAAGGAGAGGAGGGAGAAGCUGUGAGGCAUGCUCUCUGGGGCUAGGCUUCAACAUAGGGACUUUAAGGGGUACAAACAUUCAGUCCAUGCCAAGGUGUGCCCUGCCAAGACCAACUGGAGCUGAGAUUCCACAGCCUCCUGACGGGCCCAAAGGCUGUGUCUGUGCGAGGAGCCUGGGGUGACCCUCACAAGACCGGUGCUCCCUCCUCCAGGACUGCUUCCCUCACAGUCCUCCCUGGGUCUGCACUGCCUUGGCAGGCCUGCCUCGUGCCUUCACCCUCUGGUCCCUGACAGUGUUUAGAGCCCUGCUUGGCUCAGCCCAGGCUGGGACCCUGUUACAGGCUAGCUGGGAAUGGCCCCAGACACUAAGGGUGGCAGAAACAUAGGGAUCUUCAGGGACCUAGACAGCAGGUCCUGGGGGGAAGGCAGUCAGGAAGCAGGUGGUUUCAGGAACAGCCUCUGCUGGAGAGACCCUGAGACCUGUCCAAGCUGGGUGGAUUUGGGGUGGCAGGCUCACAGAAGGUUCCUCUGGAGGCAGGGCCCACAUGGAUGGGGCAAAGGCAGCACAGUCUAUGCCAGUAGGGCCUUCCUGUAGGCUUGGCGAAGGACCCAGAAUGUUUGCUGACAUCUGGUGAUGAGACGUGGAGGGGUUGGGUUUAUGUGAAAGGCAGUCCCACGGGCUGGCCAGGGGGGUAUUAGGGUAGGUGAGAAGCAGCUGCCAAGAUAGUAGCAUUACUCUGGACACACCUCAGAGCCACCUGUGGACAUCUCCAGGGUUUGCUCCUAGGGGGUGAGUUGCCUGUUCCCCCAACUUUUCCCUGGACAUGGAGCCCAGGAUGCUUUGGACCUUCGCCCAACCCUAACCCCUGGAGGUAGGGGGUGUUGAAGGGCUGCUGUCAGCCAUGCCUGGUUCAGUCCAGUCCCCAAGCACCUGGGUAGUGGCCCAGGGCCCCACAGUGGCUGUGCUUGUGAGUAGUUCAUACGAACAGUCUAAAGGACCCUGGGGCUGAAGACAGUGCCGCAUGCCUGUGAAAUGCUUAGAAUAAUGGGAUUGACAUUUCUGGUUUGGGUUAAUGGAGUAGCAGAGUUUUGGAUUGGUUCUAUUAAAAAUGAAAGUGUCUCUGUCUCAGGGAAGGAGCCCUUUCCACUGCUUUUGUGUUGAGUGCCAGCACCGGUACUGGUCCAGAAGGCCUGCUUCAGGGCCAGCCUACAAGGGCCAAGGGCAGCUGUGACCCAGAAAGCUCUGCCAGACCUGCAGCCAGGGCUGUCCUGGUUUUGUGUUGUGAGAAGGGGUGGCCUGGCCUGGACCCUCUGCCCUGCCAAGAGUGCUUCCUCGGCUGGGCAGGGCUUUCCUGCUGGUCUCAGCAGAGGGGCUGUAUAGGAUCACGGUGCCUCUUGUAGCUGCCUGGCUCCAUGCCUAACUCCUCAGGAAAGAGCCCCUGGGCUGGGCUGCUCCAUGCCUGCUUUCCAGGGUCCUCAGGGAAGCUGCUGCUGGGUGGUCUCUGUUGUGUGAGCACAUUGCCAGGGGAAGCCCCCUGUGGAGUGUCACAGGAAGCUCUUCCCCACCGGUCCUCCCCUUGUAGGUUUUGAGUGCUGGGAGCCAGCUUAGCCAAACGCUUCCUAGGCAGUAGACUGCACGGACUGCUGCCUUCAUCCUGUCCUCUGUCUACCCCAAGUCUCCGUUUUCCCUUUCCAAACACUGAGCUUUGGGGUGCCCCACAGGCUGUGAGUGGUGGAGGAAAGGGUGGCACUGCCAUGGCAGAGCUGGGCCUGGACAGGCUACUCUCCCAGCUGAAGUCUUGUUGAAGGCUGAAGUCCCUCAGUGCCACAGACUGUCAGGCCUGCUUGUCCCUCAUCCUGGAACCCAGGACACCCGGUUCUCCUGAGGCUUCUCCUGAGGCCUGGAGCUUCUCUUCCAAGUCCCUCAGCACUCACAGCAACUUUGGGCUUAGUGGGGGCCCUGACCGGUAAGGUCCCCAAGAAGGCAGACCUGCAUGGUGUGAGCAGGUCAAGGGGCUUCUCACGAGAGUCUCUGGGGCUUGCGUAUAAACCAUGGCUCUGCCCUUCAGCCUUCCUUCUCUGUCCCCUGGUCCCAGGAAGCCCUGUUCCAGACCCCCCACUGUGCCUGUCACUCUUACAGGGUUGUCCUAGCCCAGCUGCAUUUCCCAGUCCCCGUGAACUGUGGGGUAUCAAUAGGCCUGGGUAGCGAUGGCAGGACAACAGGGGACCUCCAUCCAGGAGUAUGGUGCCACAUGUGGCAAGAACAGGGUUAGGAGCAUUGCUGUCCAUUUUGGGUGCCUGGUACUCCUCGAGACCUAGGAGCCACCACAACCUCCCUGACCCCCUUUCCUCACCUCAGUAUCAGCAUUAAAGACACAAGUCAAGACACCCCACAGCCAUUGUCCUAGGCCAGGAGGUCUGGAUACAAGCAAUCUGAAGUACUUCUUCAAGGCCAAGAGGAAAGGAUGCAGUGUUUGGUACUGCAGAUUCUGGGAGAGCCAGGCCUCCAAAUGGUCAGCAUAGAGGGGCUCUUGUGGGGGCUGAGGUUUUUAACUAGGUCACCCUUGUAUUUCACUUGCCUGGAGACAUCAGAGAAGCCCAGUGGAGGAACAUUCUGCACCAUAUCUGGCUUCCACUCUAGGCACGUGAGCAUGGCAAGACCAGGCAAGGCCUUGGCAUCCCCUUCUGCCUAAAGGUUGAUGCUCAGCCACAGAGACAUGCCCUCAAGUACCAAUCUGAGGGGCACAGAGGUUCCAGUCAGAGCCUUUGCAACUUGGGUCAGAACCUGGCAGUAAGCAGGGCCUGGCUUCUUGGGAGACGAUGCCUCGCUGCCCAGGGCCUCUGUCAGAGGCACUGUUUCCCCUGGCCAGGGUCCAGGGCUCCUGCUUUGUUCCUUUGCUCAUCCAGUAGUUCUUUCACUCACUGGUGCUGUUUGAGGCCUGCUCCUGACUCAGGGCCCUGCCUGACUGGACGCUGUAACACGGCAGAUCACCAUCCCUGGGCUGAGAGGUACAGCAGGGCCUGGAGACUGCUCUCAGGGCCUCUUGGUAGCUGUGGCCCCUGUCAGUGAGUGAGCAGCCAUGUGCAUAGUUGGGGCUCCCUGGCACAGGAAGUGGCCAUGCCCCAUGCUGGGAGACGCCAAGGAGCCCACACAGGAGGCCAGGCAAGUGCCUACACAGAGGCUUCACGGGACCUCGAGCAGAGGGAGCUGGCCUUGGAGGGCAAGUGUGAGGUUCUAGAGUGACUGAGUGGCCCUGGACAUGGUAGGCCAGCUUCCCUGUUCCAGCUCCCCUUGUGGGGCGGUCAGCUGGCAGGCAUAACAUCUGAGUCCAGGCUUGAUCUGGCCACUGAAUGCCCAGAGCCCUGCUGACUACAGCACAGUGUCUGCCCUGCCCACCCUAGGCCUAUUAAGACCUCAGCCUGUAGACAACUGCUUCUGACAGGUCUGAAAGGCCGUGGCGCUGUGUCUGGGCAGGUGGAUGAUGCUGGCCCAGGGCUGCCACAUGCCUGAAGCUGACCUGCUCUUUGGCUUCUGGCCCAAGGGAACCGCAGGCUACCUCUCUCCUCACUUUGUGUUAGUAGGAGAGAGGAGUGUCGCCCUGUGGUUCCUGGGUUCAUUCUCCUUCCCUCUCCUAACUAGUCUUGCAUUUAAUAUCUUUAGAUUACUUUGUAUCUUGAUAUACUUCUACACUUGCAUAAAAGUUGCAAAAAUAUCUCAUAUAAUUUCCACACGUACUUUACCUGAAUUUACCAGUUGUUGGCAUUUGUCCCAAUCUCUUCGUUGAACCGUUUGGAGCCUGUGUGCCCCUUGUGCUCGCAUGUGAGGGCAUGUCUCUGGCUGACAUCAGCCUCCAAGCAGGAGGGGCCUCUGAGGCCGUGUGUAGUCUUGCUACAUGCACAUGUUCAGAGUAGAGACCAGGUGUGCGGAAUGUCCCUCCACUGGACUCAUCUGAUGCCUGCAGAAUGAGGUAUUUGACAGGGAAACUAUGGCCAGUGUUGUGUGUCCCUGGGCUGCCCUGCAUGGACACUAGGGCCAGAGCUGCUGGCUGGCUUCUGAAGUGCAGAGUGCUCUGAGCAGCGUGGGGAGAACAGAGCACUCCUGCAUCCUGUUCCCCGCUGAGCUUCACUCCGGUUUUUUACAUCUUUUUGUGGCUUUCUCGCCCCCACCUUCCUUCUGUGCUGCUUGGUGGCACUGACAAAGCAGUGACCCCUUGCUUUGUCCUACAUGCGUCUUAUUUAUAACAGCUCAGGGCCCACGUUGCUACAAUCUGUUGUCAUCAUUUAUUUUGGUCUGUGCUUGGCCUGGGAAGCAUUUCCCGGCUACCCUGGGACCUUGGACGUGGCUGUUUUUCCCUGGGUGCUACCUCACUCUCUGCCUGACAGGGUGCUUCAGAGUCACCCUGGACUUCCUUUCCAUGGCCCUGGAUGUGCAGCAUCGUGGCUCCCUGCCAUGCUGUGACGUCCAGCUGGUUCUCUGUGGUGCACAGGACAGCCCCAAUGGCCAAGUACCAGUAGUGCUGAGGCCCAGGCUUGGGCGAGCAUGUCCUGCUGUGCGUCAUUGCUCCUGGCCCUUGGGUCUCGCCCUCACACACGCACAGGUGCCUGCUUGUAGUGGCAGUCACACUCUAACCCUACUGCCUGGGGUGGGCGACCCUCCUCCACCAGCCUCAAUUCGUGGCCAUGUGCUUAUUCACUCAAGCCUGAACUGCAGGUUUCAGAACUGCAGUUACCACCGAGAAAAGAAGCAUACCAACCAGAGUUCCCAUUGGUUCUUGGUUCUUUCUUCAGGUAAAAUUUGCAUACUGUUAGACGUGGAAGUCCAGGUGUCCAAGUUUGUGAGUGGACAGGUGUCUGUGCGUGCAGUGUGUGCCUCUGUGGAGGUGCACUCCUGUCUCCCUGCCAGUGUGCCUCUAGCCCUGGCAGUGCCCCGUUCAGAUUCUGCACAGUGGGCUGGCUCGCCUGUUCUGGAGUUACACGUGUGUGACCGUCCCCGCCUUGCUAGCCNCUGUCCCUACUGCCAGGGUUGCUCAAAUUCAUGUUCUAGCUGACAUUCUGGAAUUUGAGAAUCAGGUAAAGAAACCAAAGCACGAUGUUUGCUGCAGGAGGCAGGAGUCUGCAGAGGCGGCCCCCGGCCCCUGUGAAGGAGGAGUCUGGUGGGCCCCAGGUGUGGUCAGCCUGUGAGCAAGGGUCUCAAGCCCACACUGGCCCAGUGGAGGGCACAUGGGGAUGACUCCCAGAGCCCCUUCCCUUGCCCCGUGUUUCCCGGGCUUCCCCACAUGGUGCUGAAGCAGGUCUCCUUCGGCAGGUUUUUUAGAAUUUUAUUUUAUGAGAACAGGCGGUUACGGCUCCCCAAGUGCUGUAAAAGUUAAUGUGAUGGCCUCCCUGCGCCUGUGCUCAUUUUUAUAAUUUUUUAUUUUAUGAAACAGGACAGGGAGCUUAGUGACUUAUUACUAUUCAUUUCGUUUCAAUGCAGUAAAUAUUGAUUCAGUUGGGGGUUUUCAAUUUAAACCACUCGGCGAUUAUAUAAAAUAUUACUGGCCUCUGAAAUUAUGCUUACCGAUCCCUUCGGCUGCUCAUUAAGGAAGGAGUGCAAUUUUUAGACCCCUUUGCCUUCAUCAUUCUAAUAAAUGGGCCGAGAUACGUUUUUGCACGGAAGGUACCACAGACGCUGCUGGCAGGGGCUUGACAGCACCGUGCAGCUCUUAAUUUGGAAGUCGUUCUGAAGCGCGCAGUGGUUAUUUAUUUAUUUCUGUCUGUUGGAGGCAGACCGGCUGGCCUUGUAGCUCAGGCCCUCAGUGGAACUGGGGCUAUAGGGCUGAGCUGGCAGCCUUCCUAGCUGGAUGCCUGCUGCCCCUGCUGGCUAUGGGCAGCCCAGGACCCCAUGUCCUCCUUUGGCCUUUGGGGGAGGGAUGGAGAGGAGAGCCAGCCUUCCCAGGGCAUGAGCUGGCCCCGAGCAGCACCCCAAGGCUGGGACAUCCCUGAAGGUCAGCUGAAUCCUUGAGACCUCAUCCAGAGAAAGGGAGGGGACUUUUUCUAAGAGAUCUUAGAACCCAACCCUGCUGACAGGUGAGCCAGAGUCAGGCCUGAGACAGGAGCCCCUGGAUGCCGGGCCCUGCUGGUGCCCAAGACAGCUCUUCCUGCUCCUUUGCCGUCUGAUAGUGCGUGCACACCACACAGUGCCCACACAGGUGUGGGCAGCAAGUUGCAGUGCUCCCAGGCCACCCUGGCAUCAGAGUAGGAAGCCAGUUGUCACUUCUGGGUCCACUUCUGUUCUUAGCCCCUCAGUCUCCACCUGGAUGGGCAGAUUCUGGUGGGGAGCUCUUGGUUGGUCCUGCGGCCAGGAUAAGUGUGCUCUGGACUGAGAGUGCCCCGGUAGGCUGCAGGGACCCCUGCUCCCAGGCAGAGGCAGGGCCUGAGCCAUAUCCCAGCUGCCUCCCAAGACAGCACAGGUGCCUGGAACGGGGCAGGGCAGGGCUGAGGCCCGUGGACUCUUCUGCCACCCCGUGGCAGCCCCCUGCAACUUGGCAGGCAGUUUGUACCUCUACUUCCUCAGUGGGCUGUGAGACAAGCCUGUGGCUGGAGGGGGUGUGACACCAGCUGAGGGGAAGGGGGAGGGUUGGUCCAGGGGUGAGGAGGAGCUCAACAGUUGGGGUCAUGAACUUGGGCCCUGGAAUUGGCUUAUGGGAGGGAGGUCAGGACAGGUACAGCCCCCUUCUGCUCCCAUCUCAGGUGGAGACCUGCUCUCCAACCCAGUGGGCCUCCUGUGGUCUCAGUGGCCCUCUAGUGCAGCAAUAGGUUGGUGGAGUGGGUGGUGAGGAGGGCACCUGGAGGGCACUGGAGGUGCUGGGAGCAACAGUCCCACAAAGACUCAUGCCCGUGCCUCUUCCCUGCCCUGAACUCUGCCCUGAGGCCUUCUGCAUGGCCUCUGUCUUCUGCUGCCCCUUUCCUAUCUGUCUUCCAGGCCCUCUCUUGGCUCAGUUUCUGUGCUGUGUGUUUGGCGUCUGCCUGUCUGUCUUUUCUGCUCAUUUCUCUGGCCCUGCUCCUGCUCCACCAUGUCACUUUCCUCUGUGGCCUCAUUUUCUCUCUUCUCUCUGCAUCCAGCUGUACUCGGGUGCUGUGGCCCCAGCAGGGGACGCGGGCCGUUCCCAGUGUUCCUGGGGAGUGUGCUUUGGGCGGGGGAGGUGGGGCUCCCCAGCAGAGGCGCACUCCUGCCGCAGCGCUCCUGAGUGCAGGCCUGAGGGACAGCCUAGGCUCCACGCUCCGCUCCUCCCAGGCCCACCCACCCUGUCCUCUCUGGCUGGAACCUUGCAGUCCCAUGUAUUCCCUGAUUCCCACCCCGACUGUCCACCCAAUCCCUGCUGAGCUAGGUUGGUAGCGAGGGACUGGGGCAUCCAUCAAGGGUGAGGAGAUUCUCAUUGUACCCACUGGGGCUGCCCUCGAAGGGGCUGACUAUGGCGUCCACUCCUGAGCCCUGUGUACAGCACAUGGACUCUGAUCCAUGGGAUUGGAGAGUGACGUCUUGGCCCUUCUCAUUGGCUUGUGGGCAGCUGUGGUCCUGCUGCAGGCCUCUAGGCUGGCCUCCAGGAGGAGCAUCGCAAAGUCAGGCAGGUGUGACUUCUGGGUCUGGCUGUGGAUGGGCAUCCCUGUCCCUGUUGUGGGUAAGCCCUGAGUGGCAAGACUAAGGAAGGCCCUGUGAGACACUGCCACAGCAAAGCCACAGGCAACAUGUGGCCUUCCUGUGGUCUGCAGGAACCCACAGGGAUGGGCCCUGGGAAACGCAGUGCCAGAGCUGGCAGGUGUGCGCUUUCAUCUGGCCCAAGGUGGUUGGCAAGGAGUGCCCAGAAGUGCCCGUUAGGUCUCUCCUGUGGGAUUUGUGGGGAGCGGCCCACAGCCUGAGGGGAGUCCACCGACUGCCUCCCCAACCCCACUGAUCCAGUAGGAGGGUCCUUUGAGACCUGGAGUAGAGGAGAGUGGAGGCACCAACCUGACAGCAGGAGACAAAUUGCCCUCGUCACAGUGCCACCUGGCUGCUCUACUCCAUUAAAUACCAUUUUAAGUGGCACUUUUACCCUGGUUUUAGAGGUGGUAGUAAAGUAUUGUUCAAAUAAUCAAUAUCAUACCUAACUCCUCACAUAUAUCAACCCUUCAGCUGAUCACCUCAUCGCUUCACCUCUCAGGCCUGGGACCAGGGUCUGACUGGCAGGCAGGUAUGGCCAUGCCCAGGGCCUGGGGGAGCACGGCACUUCAGGGGACAGGCUCACGUGCUGCCUGCCAUACUGCAGGGCUCAGGUGGGCUACCAGGGUCCCGCUGUGCACUGUUGAGUAGGAGGGUGCCAGGGUCAUGACAUAGUGGGAUGGAGGAGGGAACGAGGUUCCCGCGGGGCACUGGGCCCCUGGGAGAUGGGGCGAGGUCCUUUCCUUGGGCUGUCCUUCCCCAUCUCUCUACCUUGCCUCUCCUCUCCCCCCUCAUAUUGCUGUGUCCUCAGAGAUGGUACUUCAGUGACACCUGUCUCCACUCCCCUCCCACAGUUUAGGGGCCCUUGGUGAGGGGUCUCUCCUUGUGCCCAUGAGGGAGGUGGGCUUCCUGCCCCUGGCUCCUGAGGCUUCUUCCUUCCAUGCCACCCUCCCCCAGCCCCGACGCUGUUGGAGUCUCUUAUCUGUGUCAUGUGCCACCUGGGGCAGUUUUAAGGAGUCAGGUUAGGGGUGUUUCCUGAGGUGCAGGCGGACUGGGGUCCAGCCAGGCCUGUUGUUUUGCUGCUUUCCCCAAGUCAGCAGGGUGCCUGUGGCUGCCCGUCCACUCCCCAGAGCCGGCAGCCCCCAGUGUAAUUUGCGGUGGGAUGUCUGUUAAGAUUGCGUCCACUUCCCAAGUCAGCACUUAAUUGGCAAGGCGCUUGAUUUAACAGCGUGGGAGCCUCCACCGGAAAAAUGGCUUGAAUAAAUCACUGCCCGACGCCAGAAAAUAGAUAUAAUCUCAGCAUUAACUACAUUAAUAGUAGCAGGAGCCGAAUUAAGAAAGCCAUAAAGCACAGGCGGGGAGCAUAAAUUAUGGCCCGCUCCUCCCCUCGGGUCUGAGAGGGUGGGCCUGGGUGGGACAGGGGCUCCAAGGCACAGGCCCAUCUGUGGUCAGCCUGGGAUAGAAGGGAGAUGCAGGCCUGUGGCCUCAGCCCUCCCCACUGUUCCCCAACUCCACAGUGCUGGGCCUGGGGGGACCGGGGGGGGGGGUUCCUGGGAGGUUGGCUGGUGGCACAGCCCUUCCAUCCUGGCUCCCGCUUGCUCAGGGGCUGGCGUAGCAGCCACUGCCCCGCAGUGCCAGCAGGUGCCAGGAUGGCCCUUGUGUGCAUGCCUGUGGAGCAGAGUGCAGAACAGGGCUGGGGUCUCACUGAGAAGCCCCCAUAAAUUAUGUGCCCCCUGUCUGGAUGCAGAGGUGGCACAGCCGGGCCACCUGCUGCCGUCCACCUGGGGCCUGGUCUUGAGAUCUGAACCUCUGUUCUUCCUUAUUCUUAUGGGGGCCUAGGUGGCCUCUUCACUGACUGGGCCACUGCAUGGGCCUGGUGGCCUGGGCAUUCACUGGUUUAGGGACGGCCAGGCCAGGCAUGCCUUUCAGACACAUCAGUGCUUGGACAGCGAGCAGAGGAGAGUGUGUCCCGGGCUUUAUUUUAGUUUGGCUCAUAGCCUUUCUCAGGUUCGUUGUUGUCUCUGGCUUGCCUCCUCCCUGCGGAUCUGUAGUGCCCUUUCGGUGCUGAGGAUGUCCCUGGGUCCUGUUCCUCAGUGGUCCUUUUGUCUUUCGGUGUGUGAGGAUUCACGCUGGAAGCUCUUUGCUUUUUCCCUGCACUAAGUCGGCUUGCUCAGAGACUGAUGUGUUUGGUGCUCAGAGCAGCUUCCUCCUGCCAGCUGGGUGCUGCAGCAGCCCCAGUGCCUCUGGCCUCUGGGGCCCCAGAGUGUACAGUCGUGGAAGCAUAGGGUGGGAGCAAAAUGGCUGUUCCCGUUGCCCAACACUGCUGUGCACUGGAUUGUGCUUCACCAGAGCCCCUAAGUGCUAAAGCCCAGACCCUGGUUUGACUGUCUCUGAGAUGAGGUCUUCAGGAGGCAUAAAGGUAAGGAUCAGUCAGGUGUGUGUGGUUGUCAUCGAGCUGAGUGGCUGCUUGUGAGGAGAGGAAGAGAUGAUGCCCACAAGGAGGGGCAGUCCCGUGAGAGCAGUGGGAGGGAAGGCGCUGCCUGCAGCCAGGAGAGCCUCAACAGAAAGCCAGUGGGCAGCCCGGGCCCACCCCCCAGCCUGGGUCUCUAGGCGCUGGGUGUGCAGUGUGGCACGGACCUUCCCUGCCAGCUGGGUUGUGCCCCGCUGUGCAGAUGGGCCAUUGUGUGUCUGUGUUGCUGUUGACGGGUGCAGGGUGCCUUCAGCUGGGCAUGUCUCUGGGUGGCGAGGAGCUGUGUUCCUGUGGAGCUGCUGCCUCCGGGAGGGAUGCUGAGCCCGCUGGUCUCCCUUGGUGAUGUCUCAGCCUUGGUCACUCCAGCGCAACUGUUGAGGGGUCCAGGGCCCUGGCCAGCUCCUCUAGGUCGUCUUUCCUGGUGGAGUCCUGCUGGUGAUGUGUGGUGGCAUUGCACAGAGGUCUUACUUGGUGUCUCCUGAUGAGCAAGAGAUGCUGAGCAUGUUUUCGUACGCUCAGUGCUCCACGGCUGUGCUCUUUGGGGGAGCGCCAGCGCCUCUCGGAUCCUUUGUUUCUCUUCACAUUCGCCUUAUUGAUCUGUUGGAGUUCGUUGUGUAUCAUGGACACAGUCCUCUCUCACAGGAACUCUACUGCCACACCCCGUUGCUAAGACUUGCUUUUUAAUGAUGUCUGGUUUAUUGAUCAUUUCUUUCACAAAUAGUGCUUUUGUAUUCUGCAUAUGAAAUAUUUGCCUAGACAAGGUUAUUGGAACAUGCACAUUUAAACCUCCUGUGAUCCUUUUGGAGUUUUUUUUUUUUUUUUUUUUUUUUUUUUGGUGCCCAAGAUUGAACUCAGGGGCACUUAACCACUGAGCCACAUCCCCAACCAUUUUUUAUAUUUUUAUUUAGAGAUAGGGUCUCACUGAGUUGCUUAGGGCCUCACUAAGUUGCUGAGGCUGGCUUUGAAUUUGAGGAUCUUGCCUCAGCCUCCCAAGCCUCUGGGAUUAUAGGCGCCCAGCUUGAGUUAAUUUUUGCUUGUGACCAGAAGUAGGUGUGGUUCAAGGUUCUUUUGUUUCCUCACGGAGAUAGUCUGUUGAAAUGAGGCUGACCUGUCCAAGUGCAGGGGUAUCAGCUCUCACCCAGGUACAGGAUGUUAGGGCUGUCUCUGGCCUUCCCAUCCUUACCAUAGACUCAUUGAUCUAUGUUCUUCGUGAUUCCUGGAUGUUUAUUCUUCCAGGUGAAGUUCAGGAAUGUUGGGUCCUGACCUCAGCCUUCCCCAGCAACCAUCCUCCAAACCAGCAGCAUGUGCUCUAAUUCUUGCCAUCUCACCCACUUGGGCAAGGUCCUAGGAGGCCGAGCCUCACUGCAUGUGCCUCGUGUUCUCAGUACCUCAGGAGCAGCCUUGUGCUGGGCUUCUCUCUGUGAGCCUCUCACCCCCGCUGUGGAGAUCUCCCUGCGUGUUCCACCCGGGUCUUGCUGAUGCCAGGAGGCUGUGGGUUUCCACGUGUCUUUACUUUUCGAUCAGCCACCUAUUCACCCUCUGAAUCUAAUGCACUCUGUUGUGCCUCAUAGGCCUUCCCUGCAUGUGUGGUGGCAAGGCUUCCUGGCUGCAUUAGGGCCUACUGAGGUCAUCACCUCGUCCGGGCAGCCAGCUGGAUUUGCUGUCUGAUCCUAGGAGAUCUGUUUCACAGGUCAGGAGAGUGUCGCUGUGAACCCGCUUGGACACCAGGCCCAGCCCUGCCCCUCAUGAGCUGCACACGUCAAGUGGGUUCUGGGUCAGCAGCCAGGAAACCUGGGUGGCACUAAGUACAGACGAUUGAGGGCACUGUCCAGGGCCCAUGCCAGCCAUGCCCGCAGAGGGCGAGUGCACCGGCCACAGGGCCCCAGCUUUCUGCCCAUGGAGCUGAACUCUGCUUUCUGGAGUAGGGCCAUUAAGGUCCAGCAGUACCUGUUUUUUGCAGUUGACGUACAAAGCACCAAUAGCUUCAGCUGAAAUGGAUUUUUAAAAGUGUCAUUUUAUGGAGAAUUUUACUUUCCAUCUUGUUGUUUAUUAGGCUCUUAAAGGGAAAGCUUGUAAUGCAUCCAUUGAUCGAAAUACCAAUUGAAUAGAUGUGAGCACAUAAAAUACAUAGAAUAGUCCCGGUCCCUCAUGAUGGAGCAGCAGCGUUUGUAAUGGAGGCAGUGCAAUUAGUAUCGCCCACCACCACGCCAGCUGGGAUGGGGGGGCCCUGAAUCGUUGUUAUUCACCACGGGGGAGCGACGGUGGGGGUGGGGGUGGGGGUGGGAGUGGGUUCCUCCCUCCCACCCGAAGGAGGUCCGAGGUGCUGCAGUAGAGCCCUGCCAAGGAGCCCAGCAGGCUGCCCGCUGCCCUGGCUCAGUCUGUGUCCUCACACACACCUGCCUGCAGCCCUUUCCAGCGGCCAACCUGCCAGAGCCCAGGCCGUGGCCUCCUUUCCCUGCUUAGCACUGGGCCUGGGUCGCCCGUUGCCUGCCACUGUGAGCCUGGCAUCACAUCAUCCCAUUGUAGGGGUGAUGCCUGGAGGCUUGCAGGCCCUUUUCCUCAAUGUGGCCCCAGGACUCCAGCGCCGUCUCAACUCCCACAUAGGCCUGUGGCCCUGUUGCCCACCUGCUAGAGGCUUGUCUUGGGUAGCUGAGCUGCUGGACAGCCUCCACACAAAUGCCAUGGGUGGACCUGAGGCCGCCCAGUGCAGCCUGAGCAGUCCUCAGUCAGGUCCUGUAGCCUUGGAGCAGGAGCUGCCGUGUCCUCUUGGUUUGGCCAUGGGCUUUAGGGCAUGGUGGGCUGGGCACAAGAGGCGGCAGUUAAGUGGCAGAUGGAGUAAGGUUUUUUGAGGUCAGGAGGCCAUAGCCAUCAUGAAUUCAUGCCCGUGUGUCCUCUGAGUCAUCAGGUUUCAGCUCGGUAAUGCAGAGGCAGGCCUGGUCCAUGGGCACAUGGUCAAUGGGUCCCCAGAGCACCGAGCCUGCUUAGUCACCCUAACCUCCUGCCUCUGCCCUGCCAGGCCCUCCCCUGAAGGACUGUCCUCAUCCAGGGACCUAGGGUAUUGGACUGCCCCAGGUCGCGUGGCCUUGACCUGCUGAGGUGAGUCCUCUAGUUGGGGCGUGUGAGGCCGUGCUGUGCAGCAAGAGGGAGGCGGCGAGCCGGUCCACCCCACUACUCACACGCACACCUGCACAUGCACACACACGCCACACCUACUCAGCGUGCACACACACAAUAUCAUGCACACACUCGCCUAUGCUCGCCCUCCCUGGCUGAGCAGUAUGGUGGGCCGUCGUCGUUUCCGGUGGAAAGCCCCGCUAAGCAGUUUAGUGCCUGUCACGGCGGCUUCGCCUGACCUACUUGGGGAUUCGCCGUGCGAGCUGCCUCUUCUGCUGACUGCGCACUCCCGCUAGCUCAGCUUCGAGCUUCAAAAACCGUGCUCCAUUUCCUGAAAAAUGCUUCCCUGGUCGUUUUCUCUGCUCCCCCGCUGGCCUGCCCAUCUCUUGCAUUGUCAACAGUGGCCAGAGUGCCCUGGCUUAGGGGACAACUGGCUCUGCAGCCCAUGCACUACCCCUCCCCAACCAACCACAUUGGGGUCAGCACCCUACUUGGAGGCUUUAGUUCCUGGCCCUGUGCACCCUCUAACCCCUGUCCUUCUCUCCAUCCCACCGCCCCCUGUGUGCUCAGCCUGUGCUGCCAGGCUGUGUCCCUCACUGGCUCAUCACUGCUGGCUUCUGCCGAGCAAGCCGGCCUCAUCCCUGUCUCCCUUUGCCCUGCCUGUGACAGAUCCCUCCCCUGCUGUCCACCUCUCCCCAGAGGUUAUGGGAGCCCUAGGGGUGGUAUCCACAGCCGUCCCCAGGCCCUGCCCCACAACCAGCAUUUGUCCCCUUGGCACAGCUUAUAGAGCUGUCUGCAAGCCUCAUGGCACAGGCAGGCACCCAGCAGACAUGGCCAGGCCUCAGGGAAUCCUGGCAACAGGCUGUGGCUGCUGGGCAGCCCCCCAGGCUUGAGGGUCCCAUGCUCAUCGUGGAUCAGGGAAGGCUUCCCACAGGCCGUGGCUCCUGAGCUUGGGCUCAGACCUGCUCAGAACACCAGGCAGGCACACCAUGUGUGCAACCGGCCAGUGCCAGGAGGGGGCACAGUACUUUGUAGGAUGUGGAACUUUGCAGGGGGCAGGCAUUCUGGACUGGUGGGAGGGGAUAGAAGCAGUCGCCAGGGAAGACCCAAGGUCCAAGCCCACAGGGCCUUGUGACAAUGAGGGGACCCACUGCAGGGUUUGAGGGGACUCGAUCAAACAUGUAGUUUCAUACCAAUGGUCAGAGCAAGUUCUGAGCUGGGGAACCCCCCCCCCCCGCCCAGGAGCUGUGCAGCAGAGUAGGGACCUCAGCCUGCCCAGGAGAGGCCAGGCUGGCUCUGCAUUGUCGGCCGAGGCUGCUUGGCAGCCGUGCAGUUGGUGCGGAAGCCUGGGCUGAUCCUGGGGGCUUUGCAUGGUCGGCCCUCAGCAGAGCCAGGCUGAGAUUCUGGGGUUGGGGGUGAGUUUGUGAGGGAGGGGAGUGACCCAGGGUGAGAGGAGGGCAGGGGAGGGGGACAGCAAGGCAUUUCUAUCUUCUUAACAGGUAAGACUGGAGGGUGCUGGAUAACAGCGGGAUCCAGAGUAGGGCUGGGAGAAGCCAAGUCCUGGGUGGGGGCUCCUCACUGAGGGGGCUGGCAGGAUGCCUGUCUCCGUUUUCUUCCCAACGUCCAGUUUUCCUUUGCCCACGGCACUGUAUGUAGCCUUGUGCGCAGGAAGGAAAUCCAGCCCCUGUCCCUGUGGUGCUGCAGGUCUCUCCCAUCCGCUCCCUUCCCUGGCCUGGCCCCAGUGCUGAAUGACCCUGGUUCCUACAUCUGGGCCUUGGGCCAGAUGAGGGGUUGGUUCUUGAGAGGCCCACUUUCUAGGGCCCAGCCCUAUUCUUGGAGGAUCUGUGCCCACCUGGUCUCCAGUGUUUGUUUGAAGUGCUAUUGAAUCUGGUCAGCAUGGGACACAGCAUCCAAGUUUGAAAGUUGCCUGCCUGUGGCCUGUGCCUCCCGAGUCCACCUUGUUGCCCUGCCUGCAGUCUCCUAGAGGCCCUCUUGGCCCCUUUACCACCUGUACCUGAAUCAGCCACUGACCCCCCAACCCGUCCUAGUAGGCUGGUCUCUAGGAGAGGGUUCUUUCUCUCGUCAGUCCCGAGGCUGGAUCGCAUGCACAGAGAAGGCACGGGGCCUAGAGGCUGUUGCGUAGACUCUUGAGAUGCAGAGGGGCCAGACUCCCUGGAGGGCUGACUUUUGCAGGGGGGCAGGUGGAAGCCUUCAGGAGGAGCCGCUGUUCAUCAAGUGAGUGUCCACCAAGCCUCAGGCUGCUGCUGCUACUGUGCGGGAGCCACCCCUGGGGUGCACGUGUGCAUGCAUGGGCGUAUACUGCUGCAGCGUGUGGAGGCUGUUUGCUCGUCUGGUGGGCACUCCCAUGCCCUGCCCAAGAGGCCGCCAGUCUGGUCUCAGGCCAGCAUGCUUGCAUGUCAGUGUCCAAGAGGUGCGAGUCUCAGGUAAGUCCCUGCCUCAGCCACACAGGGAGCCCUGGCAUCUUGUGUUGGAGGCUAUGCUGACCCUCCCCAGUGGCGCCCUCAGGGAGGGCAGAGCAUGGUGUCCGGUGUUGGCCCUUAAACCCAAGUGUGGGUUGGAGCGUGUGAGAGCCCAGCAAGUGGGCACUCUGGGACCUGCGCUCAGGGACCCAGCAGAUACAUCGGGGAUGCACUGAGAUGACUUCUGGGCUAAGUAGAACUUAAUGGCCUCAAGGACAGCCUCCCUCUGUCCUGCCCAGACCCCUCAGAAGUAAGAGCCAGGCUCAGCUGCCCCUCUGUCCUGAACAGCCUCUUUCCUGGAAGUUGCCAGUGCUUCUGAGGAGUGGACGCAAUCUUUCUGCAGACCUAGUUUUGUGGCGUGUGUGCCUGUGUGUCUUUCUCCCCCCACCACCACUUUUCAUCUGAAAUGUUAUCUCCCCCCACCCUGUCCGUCCUUUGUGCCCCCCCAGGGGGAGAGGGGAGGCCCAGCCUCACCCCGGUGUAGUCAAGGUUAUGGUGAUAAAUCCUGGGGCAUUGUCACUUCUAUUCGGAGUAAAUUGGCUGGCCGCUUUCGGGCUGAAGGAAAGAUAAUUUGCUGUAGUAUUUCAAAUGGAUUAGAAAUGGAUUUGAAGGGAAAGUUCAUGCCUCCCAUUACAAAGGCGAGGAAGAAGACUAUCUUAAGGCACUGUUCCCUCCCUGGCCUUCAUUAUCCACGCUUAAUACCUUUCCUAUUUUCCAGCGUUAAUGAAAUUUCCUGGCGGCAUGGGCCUGCCGGACGGAUGGGAGAAGCCUUUAGAUCUGCGGCUCCGUUGCAGAAAAGGAAUUACAGAGCGGUGCCGUGAGGGCAGGCGCUCGCAGGGUCCUUGGCCCCGCUAUUAUCUCAUUAAUUCUAUCCCCUCUUCUCUGUACAGUUCGUUUCUAAAGGCUGUCCUCUCCAUUAGGGUGACAAUUUACUGGAGUGCUGUGACACCCAUGGCAGUGAAAAGCUACAAGGCCCCGCCCCGCACCCUGCCUUGCAGACUCAAAAGCCAGUAGGGCUGAUGGAGAGGUGUGGGAAGGGGCAGAGGGCGAGCCCAUGCAGCCCUUCCUGACCUCAGGCCUCCCCAGGGGCUGCCCACAUCAGCUUCCUAAGUGCGAGUGCUCCAUGCAAGGCUCCUGGGCUUCUGGGAGAGCCGAGCAGUGGGCAGCCCUGUCCCCAUCCCCUGGAGGCCUAAGCUCCACUGCUGCUCCCAUACGUGGGUCCACAGGCAUGUUGAUCCUCGGCUGGGGAUUGCCACCCCUCUGGUCUGCCCACAUGGGUCCACAGAUGUCCUGUAGCUACAUUCAAAAUCCAGGGAGUGGAUUUAAGGAGGGAACAGAGGGGGACAGAUGGGUUGCUCAUGAUUGUCUUUAAGAAUAAGCAUAUGGAAUGACUAAGAACUUGGCUCUGGACAGAGGGUGGAAAGCUGUCCUCUACGAAGCUGAUCCUCCACCUACCGCCACCUGGCCCAGGCCCCUCGCUGGCUCCUGGCUUCCUCAAGGUGGGCCCUCUGUAGGCCUCAUGGGCAGAGACUCAUGCUACUGGGGAAACCCCUCCCUGUCCUGCUGGUGGGGCAGGGACCCUGUGGCUUUGUCACAUUGCUCUUAGUGCCGGGCUCUGCCUAUGCAGCUGCCCUUAGGGAGGGCCAGGUGGAGAACAGGUUCAGUACCUGCCCCAGGACACCUCUGGAGAGAGGCCUGGCGGGGUCCUCAGUUGGGACACAUUUCUACAGAUGAAUUCUCACAGGGCUGGGCCUUGGAUAGCGGUUGGGCACAGGUCUGGCUGCCUCCUGUCCCUCAUGUUUUCUGGUGGCCAGGGACAAACAGCCAUGCUUGGGAGAAGGGGGUGAUUGGAAGGGUUGUUGUGAGGGCAGGACCUGCCUGGAUCCCAGGUCAGGGCCCAAGAGGCAGAGAUGUGACUGGCCUGGUGGGGAGGGGGGAAAAUGGUAUACCUAGGGACUCUGGGCAGUGAGACAGUUAGGGAUUCUGGGUAGUGGGGGCCAGGGCAGUCCUAGGGGCCUGCCAGACCCCUGAGCUCAGUUUUGGACUCAGGAUUUGGGAUCAAGAUAGACAUCACUCAUGUGGCACCCAGCUUUGAGCCUCCAGAACCAGCAGGGCUCUGGUAUGGGAGAAGACCUCUCGUGUUACGGCCGCCACUCCUCGUGACUCAGCCCCUAGUGCAAUCCCAGGGUAUAGGGCCGGUGCCCAUGGGGUUCCGAAGUCUGAUGGGAACCUGGAGCUUGGGGUCUGGCCCACUUUACCCUGCCCUGGAAGGGCACAGGGGUCCAGCAGGUGCUUCUCUCCUGCCCAGACAGAACCCUGGGGGAACGACAGGAACAUGUGAUGGGUGCCCUUUGGCUGGACUCUUUCCCUCUAAGACCAGUGUUCGUAAACUUGAAUUUUAAUUAAGGGAAACUGGGUCAAGUGCCUUCCGCGGCCUGCCUGCCUGUUUGUACUUACACUGCAGCUUUGGUCCCCAGAGUGCUCGCUCACUUCGCUCACAUUAUCUCUCUAAUGGGGCCACAGAGGCCACCAGCUAGUGAGAGUUACCCCAGCUUGCAGAUUGAGAGACCAAGGUCCACAGAGACAGUGGUGCUGAGCUCAGGGGACAGCAGUAGUCUGAGAACAGGGCUGCUGCACCCCUCAGCACCCACAUUUCUGAGUGGCUUCCCAUGGGUGGCAGGGUGAGCUGUGUGCGAGUGCUGUGACCAGGCCAUCUACAACUCACCUGUCCAGCCAAGCAAGUGAGACCCACCUGCUGUUCCUCAGCAGCCCCAGUCUGAGAUCACUCCUCCUUGGCCUGGAUGACUGGGGAAGGGUCUCCUACAACUGCAGAACCAGGCACUCCCCACGGGGAGCAUUUUUCAUAGCUUGCUUCCCUCAGGACAGUGAGGGCCGGUGGGAAGGGCAUAGCCCUGCACAUUCCUGGGUUGACUGACCUUCCCUCCCACUUGAGCUGUCCCCUUGACUGCUCCCUGAGCUGAUGUGAAGGCUGCCUUGGACUCUGUUGAUAGAUAGCUGUGCCCGGAUAGAAAGUUUGAGGCCAGCCUUAGCAACUUAGCGAGGCCCUCAGCAACGUAGACUAUGUCUCAAAAAAGCGGGGGCUGGGGAUGUAGCUCAGUGGUUAAAAAAAAAAAAAAUACAACUGUGCCCAUGGCCCAUACUUGCCACGGGGUGCCACAUAACCAGUCGAUGGUCGUGUUGUGUCCCAAGCAGAGCCUGAGCACAUAUAGAAUCUAGGCUUGAUUUGUGGAAACACCUCACUUUUGAAAUGCUUCCUGAGUCAACUGGUCUCUGUGCCAGGCCCCUGGGCUCACCUGGCUGCUGGGCACUGAGUCCUCUCCUCGGGGAGAGCCUGCUCCUGUCACAGCUGGGCAGAGGCUGCUGGGCUGCUGGGCAGCUGCAGAAGCCUUCUCUCAGAGUGGCGUCAUCACAGCCUUUCCCCAUCUUGGUCUGCGCUCUGGUUUCCCUUGGGGAAUGCGGGGCGUCUGGCAGGAUGGGGCUAGGAAGGGAGUAGGGCGGCCACUGGGACUGGAGGUCCUUCUAGCCCACAUCUCUCCUCCUGGCCUGCGCUCCGCUCAUUCUGUGGCUGCUCCGGGACUCUUGAGCCCGUGGCCUCCAGGGAACUCUUUCCCCAGAUGGCUGACCUGAUUGGGUCUGCCAGCUGCCCCACAGGCCCUGGUGCAGGGCUCUCUCAGGGAGAGGGACAAGGAAGGGAAGGACAAGUGGCACUCCUACCUCUGGGGCAGGUCUGAGAAAGGGGGCCACCAGCCUUGGCAGAGACUUCAGUGAUGCCCUCUACAGGUGACAAGUGACCAGGCCAUUCCCUGCAUCCCAUCAAGAUGUAGGUACCGCCAGGCGAGGUGGCGCACUCCUGUAAUCCCAGUGGCUUGGGAGACUGAGGCAAGAGUAUCGCGAGUUCAAAGCCAGCCUCAGCAAAAACGAGGUGCUAAGCAACUCAGCGAGACCCAGUCUCUAAAUAAAAUACAACAUAGGGCUGGGGACGAGGCUCAGUGGUCGAGUGCCCCUGGGUUCAAUCCCUGGUACAAAAAAAAAAAAAAAAGAUGAUGUCGGUACCCUGGCAACUGUCCUCCCUGAAGUUUGGGGGCCAGCCCAGGCUAACUGUGUCCAAGGGAAGGGCCUUCCCCAUCGCCCCGAGGGGACCCCCAGGUUCCCAGCCAGGUUGGGCAACACCACCUUCUGUUACUUCUUGUCAGAAUUCCCUGCGGCCACAAAAGCACCCCUGCAGAGGGGCAGGGGACAGAGGCCUGGUGGCUGGACUCCUGGCCCAGGACUGCCCUGACUGCAGGUUGUCCCAAGCAGCAAGUGCUCUAGGCUGGCCUGGCCUCCCUGACCUUGGCAUUAACCACCAAAGCUCCAAGCCUUCCUGGGUCCCGUCUGAUGGGCAUUUUGCUGUCUCUGCAGGUCCCUGGUGCUGAACCGCCUGCGUCCUACUGUGACCGGGGGCGGGAAAGCCCCACCUGGGUCCCCUCGGUGGGGCAAAGGCUACCGCUGCAUUGGAGGAGUGAUGUACAAGGUGUCUGCCAACAAGCUGUCUAAGACCUCCAGCCGGCCAGGUGAUGGGGGCAGCAGGGCCAUCUUGGGCACUGGGGAGCAUGUGAUGGGGUACUGCAGGCCAGCUUGUCUGUGAAGGCCUCCACCAGCUCCAGCCGCCUCCCUCAGGCCUGGAGCUCACGGUGCUCCCCAGGGGAGCACAGCCCAGCUGGACGAGCUCUCCUCUUGUAUAUGUGCCAGCCUCGGUAGGCCAAUGGGACAGCAUGGCGGGGAGGGCGCCGGGAGGCCUGCAGCCCUGCCAUCCCCUGGGAAGGCCAGCGCCUGCCUCUUCGCUUGGCCGAGCAGCCUCUGGUUUUCCGUGAGCUUUGCUCAUGGACAGGAGAUAAGCCAGGUGUAGGGAGCACGCCUGGGCGGGCGAGCACCUGGGGCCUCAUGCCUCUUUGCCAACUGCCACAGGUCCAAACCUCCCUGCCCAGGAGACGGGCACGAGAAAGGAAGUGCUCUGGACAUGAUCAUUGCAUAAAUUAGCUAGAGGAAUGUUUUGGUUUCAGUUUUACCUCCUUGUCCAUCAAAAAAAGGAUUAUAGGCCAGCCUUGGGACCCAACAGCCCCACCUACCCACCAGAGGGGCUGGGGGAAGAAGAGGCUCAUCCCAGGAGGUAGUGGGGUGCCCAAGGCAUCAUCUGCAGCGGGCAAGGCAGAUAUAAGGGAGCCUUCCUCCCAGAAGCUGGCCCCCCUGGCUGCUCCCACCCGACUGUGUUCCCAGGUCCUGUCUCCAGGGCCCAGGGGCUUCCAAGCUGCCGGUUUUCUAGCCAGGAUGUACUGGGGAGGUGGUUCCUGACAGUGGCACUUGGGCUGGGAAGAGCCAGGUAAAUUCUCCAGAGGGCUUGGCUCUGCUCUGCCCCUGGGCCAGUUCUCUUCUGUCCACGCCUAUGGUCUCACCUCUGCCUCACUCUUCCAGUGUUCAGUGACCAGGUCUUCUGACCACCAAGGGGAUGCUGCCUUGGGUUGGGGUACAGGUCCUCUCAUCACCCUGAGUGCCCACUCUGGUCACUUCUGACCCCAGAGCCAUGCCUGCUGAAGGAGUGACCACUGCCUACUGGCAGCAGCAUUUCUGGCCCUGCUGUAGUCUCUGUGCCCGGACCCUGCUGUGUAGCCAUUGCUGGACCAGAACAUUCACACCAGGGCUCAGUGGUUCCUCUGGACUCUCCUCAGGGUCCUGACCUCAGGCCCCAGCACCAUCCUGUGGCUGGGUCCUGCUGCCCACAUGUGCUGCACUGGGUAUGACUGUGGGGUGGGGCUGUACCCACUGUCCUGACUCCUCACAUCCCCUCAUGGCCACAGAAGAUGGCUGGGAGAGAUCUGAAGGCCAGCAGGGGAGUGGUGUCCUUUACUGAAGCUAGGCUGCUGCCCUGAGGCUGGUGGAGCUUGGGGAGGGAGGGCUGGGCUGUCACUGCUCACUGGGAAGCUGCCUCCUGCUCCCAGGACCCCCGGGCCAAAUGCUGAGCUCGCAGAAUCCACCUUCCCACUUGCACACAUGGUAGAGCCCUGGUGGCCACAGAGCUCCUGACAUCACCAGGCCGUGGACAGUCUGUCCCGGGCACCCUUGCCCACUGGCCUCUGCUCUGGCUUGGCACUCUUCUGUCCUGGCAGCCACCCAGAGCCUGCCACUGUGGAGCCCAGCUGUAUGAGGGAGCAUCAGGAGAGAGCAGGGCGGGUCCCAGGGCCUCCUCCCUGCAGGCUGCAGGUGGUGGGGUCGGGGGUCAUGGCCUUCCACCAAGCAGGGCUGUGAUUGUUCAUGUCCUGCAGACCAGCCUUGGCAGCCACUGGGGGCAGUCCUGGGCUUGGCCUUCCCUCCUGGGAAGGGGUGUGGGGCAAACGGGCAGAGGCGGCCUGACAAAGCCACACCCUUCCAAGGAGGUAGUAGACAGGGAAGUAGCGGGCGACCGGGGCAGCUCCAGCUGCUUGGACCCCUGCAUGGCCCCCACUUCACUGUGAGGAGGAAGGUGGAUGGUCCCCAGCUGUGGGCUGCUGCUGACUGGCCCACUUAGAUGAAUUAUAAUUAAAGAAAUAAAUUUCCUCCCCUGGUGUCAGCGAAACUUUGACUUCAACAAGAAAGUGUAGCCCUCCUUGGAGGGAGAGGGAUUCCUUCUCCCCUCUCAGCUGCACUUUUGGGUCCACAAGAAUAGUCAGCAUCUGCUCCUGGUUGCCCUGGGUUGCUUUAGCUAAUCCCCUCCCUCCCUGGCCCACCUUCCACCCAAAGGGCACAACCCUUAGACUCCUUCCCACAUACUUUGGCCUGGAACCUGUAUCCUCAGCUGACUGGUUUAUGCUGGGGCCACCAAGAGCCUGGCCGUCUCUGCAGUGGGUACAAGUGCCAGGUCUGUCGGUAGAGCUGCUGGGCUCAGGCUCGGCUCACGCUGGAGGCAGGGCUGGCUCUGGGAUUGUUCUGAGCUCCCAGACCUGUGGGUCAAGUGAGGCAGAAGCAGGUUGUGGUCCCCACCUGGUUGCUGACUACCUAUCGCGUGUUCUGGGCAAGUGGGCUUUCUGUGGCUCCUCGUCUGUGCCCUUCUCACUCCUCCUAGGUGCCACGAGGUCAUAGAAGGGCACAUGAGGGAGGCCCUGCCAACUGCUGCCCCCAGAGUCAAAAGCUGCUGGGUCACUGAGGCCCUGCCCCUUGCUGCCUGUCCCUGGGGCGCCCUCUGCUGUUUUGGUCUUCUUCCCAGGCCUGCAGGUGCUCUCAGCUGAGCAGGCCCCGGCUUGGGUAGCUCCUCCUCUGACUUCCUGGGAAUGGACAGGCCAGCCUGGCAGUGGGCCUGGGGAUGGCAUGUGAGCUCGUCCCUGUGCUCCCCAGGCUGUGCAGGGCUAGUGAGAGCCAGGGGUACUGAGGACCUGGUGCCCAGUGGUUCCCUUGGAGGGCCCAUGGGCAGGAGGCAGGAAGCAGAUGGGGGCACCAGGCAUGGGUGGUGCUGGAGGGAGCCAGUGUCUAUUUUGGGAAGCACCAGGAAAGUGAAGUUCUCUAGAAUGUGCAGCAGAGGCAGCACCUCGCGCUCCCGAGGUCGGGGCUCGCCUGAGUUUCCUGCACCUCCAGUUGCCUGUUUUGAGCUACUUCUGCUUUGUGUGCAUUUUUAACACUGUGCAGCAUUUGGAAAGGUGCCUCCCGUUCUUGUCAAAACUCCCACUAUGAGCCCCACACUGGCGUGCUUUUAAGAGCACAAAGUGGAAAGAGGGAAAAACUGCCCCCCUCAGGUCCUGACAGGCAGCACGUGACACCACCGUGUCCCUGACUGGGAGCAGAUGGCGCCAGUGUCACCAGCAGCCUGGGUGACAGCCCAGGAAACAAGAGCUCAUUGACAGGCUAUCAAAUUGCACGUCAUUCACUGUGAAGGCUGGCAGGUGCAAGGGUGCGUCUGUGCCACCUGGACAGGCAUCCACUGCCACCCUAUGGACAGGUGUCCCCAGCUGGGAACGUAGGCCACCCUGGGCAUCCCCACCCCACCCCCACACCCCUUUGUCUUUGUUGAUCCCCACCCCCGUCCCCUCAUCCCUCCUUGUGCCCUCAUCCCCCUACCCCCAGGCAUCAUUUCCAGCCCCACUCACCCAGCUGUCCCGGCUUGGGCCACCCUGCAGCAGAACUCCUCCCUCCCACUGGGGAUCUUGCCGCUUAACCCUGGAGAUGCCCUUUCUGAACUUGGGGAUGCCGAGGCUGAGGGUAGGAGACCCACUGGUCUGAGGGCCACAGAGCUCCGGCAGUGCAGUGCCAAGUCUUCCCCCAGGGUCUGUGCAACUCAGAGCAGCAGGCAGCCUUCGCCUGGUGGGCACAGUCUGUGCUUGACUUGCUCCCGUUGUCUCUGGAGGGCCAGGGUGUGACAGCACCACCCAACAUGGCCCAGGGAACUCCAAGGGCUGAGCCACUAACUCCUGGAUGCCAAGGAAGGAGGGUCUGAGGUCCAGCCAGUGGGGUGUGAAGGAGCUGAGGUUUGGAGAGGCCAUGGGUCAUGCCAGAACCUGGAGAGAGGGGCCACACUGGAGAUGGGCUCACAGAUGCCCUGGGGGAGGGGAGCUCUGAAGCAUCGUCCCCCAGACCUGCACUGGCAGUCUGCCGUGAGAGCAGGGACUAGCUGAGUGAGUCUAGGCACCCUGGAACAUCCCUUUUAAAAACCCCAGAUGGUUUUGUCAUCACCUCAGGCCCUCAGAAUUUCUGCAUGAUGUCACUUCUGCCUCUUAGCACCGUAUUCAUUUCAGCAGCUGCCCUGUAGGAAAUGGGAUCUGGUCUGGGAAGGGUCAUGUGCGUAUUUGAGGAACCCAGGGAAACAGUCUGAGUAGGCCCUGCCCUGCCUGGGCCUCCCCGCAAUCCUGGGACUGGCCUGUGCCUUUAAAAGGCAGGCCCCUCCUUUUGCAGGCCCCCUUCCUCACUGACCGCUGUCCCCCACGUUGGUCCCUUUAAUUCUAAGGGGACCCCAAUGUAUGUCACUGCUAUCCUCACACCAUAUUAAUGAUCUCAGAAAAGCUAAGCCGAUCUGAUCUUCAGUCUCAUCUUCAUGCUUGGGAUUUUAGGGACUAUCUGGAAAGGUACCUCCAAAAUUGCAAGUGAUAAGCCACACUUGCACCUGGGCCAGACCCCUGAGUGUGAGGCUCCCACCAAACCAUCUGCAUUUCCAAAGCCAGGCCACAUGUGGUCCACAUUCACUGCCUUGUCUAAGCAAACCCCUCCCGGUCCUACUCUGGGGCUCUGGCAGGAGGCGGUACCCCCACCAGUGUCAAAGCCUGGAAAGGGCCUCGGCCUGAGGACCUGCCCCAUGAGACGCCUGGCUGCCAGGGUGGGCUUGUAGGUGGCCGGAAACCAGCUGGUGGGAUAGCCCAUCCAGCCUCAGAUGUGGCUUGGGAAACCCAGCUGGCUGCAGGCCACUCACUUAUCCCUGAGCAGUCCAGUCCCCUGUAGGGGGCUGCCUGGCAUGCCAGCUCUGAGGGCACCAACAGGAGCCCUGCCUGGCCCCAACCAUGACGCUGUGUCCCUAGAGGGCGGGGCUGUGGGCAGCCUUCUGCAGGAGGCAGCCAUGCUGGAGCCCAGGGCUGAGGACCCUGAGGGGGCAUUGGCCAGGUGGAACUGUGGAAAGAGGAUGGGCUGGGCUGCGGCCUGAUAGGACCCUCUCCUCUCCCUGCUACAGGCCGAAUGGAUCCUACCAGCAGCUGUAGCCGCUCCCAUGCCAGGUGCGUCCCUCGGGGGCUGGGCAGGUGGGGCUCACUGCUCAUCCUUGGGCUCAUGAACCUCUCGCUGUCCACAGCCGAGCGAUCCAGCGCAGCUUGGCCAUCAUCCGCCAGGCGAGGCAGAAGAGAGAGAAGAGGAAGGAGUACUGCAUGUACUACAACCGUUUUGGCAGGUGCAACCAUGGCGAGCGCUGCCCCUACAUCCACGACCCUGAGAAGGUGGCCGUGUGCACCAGGUGCCCAGCUGGCUUCGCCCCGGGUGAGGGAGUCUGUGUGGGGUCUUGCCUCCAUCCCUGGCAGCCUUCUCCAACUCCCCUGUCCUGUGCUACCACAGGUUUGUCCGGGGAACCUGCAAGAAGACAGAUGGGACCUGUCCCUUUUCCCACCAUGUGUCCAAAGAGAAGGUAAGUGCUAUUGCUUGUCCCCUGAGCUUUGGCCAGCAGCCCUGCCCCUGUGGGCCUUUCAUCCCCACGUGUGGGCGGUGCCAUGGCUGCCUUUUAGCUGAAGUAGCUAACUGGGGACUUUGGGGGGGUCCCACGCACCACACAUAGGGGUCGGUCUUCCCUGUCCCUCCAGCACCCAGCCUUGCCAGAUGUGUAGGCCCCCCAGUGAUGCCAGGCUUCUCUCCAUCACCGCCUCAUGCACAGGAGAAGGUGGCCCUGUGCGUGCCCCUGGAGUACAGGACCAAGACCUCACCUGCCUCCUCAGGCCUGGAUUUGGCUAGUAGUGGGCAUUUUGAGAGUUCUCCUGGAGGCUGCAGGUUCCCCUAGGCAGAGGUGGGGACGGGACAGGAGAGCCGCCACAGGGAACUGAGAAGGGACCACCUAUAGGGCGGCCACGGCUGGAAGGGUUCGGGUGUUCUGGCCUGCAUGACUCCAUAGACUUAUUCAAGCCAGGGAGGGUCCCCUACCUGGAGGAUUGAGAGUGCUGAGGUCUGUGAUUCAUGCUGGCUAAAGCUCCCAGAGCCUGGGGCAGGAGGCCAGGGGGCCUUGCCCCAUGCCGAGGCCUGCCCACAGGCCCUGGGAACCCAGCCUGGCCAUGGGUGUGGGGAAGGGCUGGGUGUGGGGCUGCAGCUGAAGGAGGCGUGUGGGCAAGGCCCACUGCUGCUCCGACAGCUUUUCCCCUUGAGGAGCUUGGAGAGAAUCAGCAUUUUUCUCCCUAAUCGCGCUUCGAAACUCUGUCGUGAGCAAUUUGGAAAUUCACGUCGAGUUUCGGGUUCAUUAAGCGCCAGCUCCAAAGCCGGUGCACACUCCACACUGUCUAAUGUGUGGGCCCGCACCAGCGCCCUGAAUUAAUGUUAUUGUUAUUUGUGUGGACGUGGUAGGGUGCAAACAAGGUUAAUUGAAAUGAGAACGCAGUUUCCUCUUGGUAACGGCCCCGCUCUGACAGCCAGGAGGAGCUCCGUUUGGUGUAAGAGUUGGCUUUAUUAUCCCUUUUUAUUAGAGCUAAUUUGGGCUCUAUAUCAAAAACCACAUUAAGGGAAUUGUCUGCAGCCGCACCACCACCAGCCCCAAACAGGGCCCCCAGCCCCUCUCCCCUCUGCGGCUGCAGUUAAAAGACAAUUAAAAAUAAACUCUUGCUCAGUAAAUCACCCUUUGUUUCUUUGAUUUCUCCCUCCUUCCCCCUUAGCUCCAGGGCUGCUGCCCAGGCCUUUUCUUCCCUUCUUGGCCCUCAGACAGGUUCCUGCCCCUACCUUAUAUUUCACCCUAGAAAAGUGACAUUUUACAGCUUCUGGGUGCCCCAGAACCAUGGAGGGCUCCCCAAGCCCACCGCUGGCCUCAGUGCUGAGCAACUUGGGCAAGCCAGGACUCUCAGUGUGGGCAAGGAGGUGACUCCCUGGGGGUGAGAGUGGGGGGUCUGACCCAAGGGCCUCAGGAGGGGGUCCCAGGGAAGUCCUGCUGAGGCCUUCUGGUGGGCUCCAUACUGGACCAGGGCAAGUGACACCACUGCACUCCCCCAGAUGUCCCAGGAAGGAGCUGGUGUCUGGCCCACAAGGGGAGCAGGGAGUCUCCCGAAAGUUUUAGAAACAUGCCCUGCUUCCUUCCCUGGGUGACCCCACCCAGCUCCUGUUCACGAAGGCCUCAGUUUUGCCCCCUGGGAGAGGGGUGGACUGCAUUUCUUACCUCUCCCAACCCAGAUGGUGAUAACAAGCAGCAGCCCCGGCCAGAGGUCAGUGGGGCUGCGGCUCUGUGCUGGGGAAGGAAGAGGGAAAGUCAGGCUGGGCUCAUGAACCUCUGUGCAGCCUGCCAGGGUCAUCCAUGCUGCCUAUACUGGGCCCUCAGAUCUCCCCUGAGCCCCUCCUGUUGCCAGGCUUCAGUGCCACCCUGUGGUCAGGGCCAGACCAAGCCUGCUCCAAGAUACAUGUCAGGUGGCUAGAGAAUCUCCAGCUUGAUGCCUGGCCCUAAGGCUCUCCUGUGUGAACACUGGCCCCGUGGGCUGUGACUCCCGGGCAUCUGGGCCAUGGUUAGUGGCUGGAAGUCCAGACUGCCAUCUUGCCCUGGACAUUGAGGGAUUUGGGGGAUAGUAUACCUGCCCCAAGACCCCUCAGGCUGACAGAGUGAGGGUAGAUGUGCUUCUGGGUCACCUAGGAAGGGGGGUCUGACUGUGAGCAAGCAGCUCCCUUGCCCAGCAGGAUGCAUCCACUUCACCCCUGUGGGGGCCACAGUGGGACCCUGGACAGGGCCUCUGCGUCCUUGUGCUGCUGCCUGUAGAGCGGCUGUGGUUGCUAGGGCGUGGGUCGCUGGCCCUCACCGUCUGCCCUCCCUCCCGCAGAUGCCUGUGUGCUCCUACUUUCUGAAGGGGAUCUGCAGCAACAGUGACUGCCCCUAUAGCCACGUUUACGUGUCUCGGAAGGCCGAGGUCUGCAGCGACUUCCUCAAAGGUUACUGCCCGCUGGGUGCCAAGGUGAGGCCCGCAGGCAGGCAUGGGCAGCCUCCCACAGCCCUGACCUUACGUCUCCCUCACAGGCAACUCUGGCCCAGUGACUUGCCAGGGGCUUGUGCAGUGUGAGCCGAGGGAAAGUGAGGCCAGAGUACCCAGGUCCCCCAGGGCAGCAGGGUGUACAGUGGGUUCACCCCACUGCAUGGUGGGCCAGGGAUGCAAUGGCUGGGGAGGCAAAACCCCUGAGAGACUGCUGUGGGGUGAAGGGGGGUGAAGGUCAGGGUUGGAAGAGCUGUGGGUAGGUAUGGAGCCGUGGCCAUCUUAGGGUGGCAGGUGUUGGUAGCCCACACCCACAUUGCCUGGGAUGGAAGGGCUGGGCAGAGCCGAGGGGUUGUCCAGAGGGGCAGGUGAGCCUAGGGUGAGCUGAGGCUGGACCUACUGGAAGUAGGUGGGCAGUGCCAGGUGGGCAGUUAGUGAACUGCUCUCAGGGGACUGGCUUGCCUUGUCCCAGCCCCUCACAGUUGCCUGUCUGGCUGCCAGGGCAGCUCAGUCUCGCCUGUGGCUGAGCACCAGUGGGGAACUUCCUUGGCCGAGCAAGCGGGGCCUUCCCCUCAUUCACUAGGAUCCUUCCUGAUUCAGGGGGCUGGCCAGAGGACCCUGCAGGCCUGACCCAGUGGGACCCUUUUCCCCAGCCUCCCACAAGACCUGGGCCAGGGGCCAUAGAGAGAAUUCUUCAGUCCCUGGCACCCUGAGAGCAUCUGUGUUGCACAACCCAGGGGCCUUAUGGCAAGGCCCACUCCUGCCCCUUCUAGCUGCAAAGCCUGGGAACAUGGUCCUGUGGUGGGCCUGCAGAUUGGAGGGAGGACCCCCAAUGAAGGUGAGGUCACCAAGCACCAGGGUUGUGUGAGUGCUGGGCCACGCCCCCCCCCCCCAAGAGCUGGAAAGGCCCAGGUGGCACGCACAGGAGCACCUCCCUCACUGGCUGCACUUGAGAGGACCCACAUAGGAGCUCGCCAACACCUGCCCUGCCUCCCUAGAGGUCUGACAUCCGCUUCCAGGGAAGACCUGAGACAGUGGGUCCCUGGAGCCAGCCCCGACUCCUGCUGCUGCACUGCCUGCUCACAACAUGGGCCCUAACGUGGAGCUGGGGGUCACCUUGAUGGGCACCUGGGCACUGGGCAGGGAAACCCUCCAGGCCCUGGUCCAGGUAGGGGGGCAGGACCCAUGGAGGCAACAGACAAUUAUUGUAAAAUAUUCCAAUUUAAAUGAAAGUAUCAAAGCGAUAUUUAAGUUCUGCUUCUAUUAGUGGAAGUGCUUACUGUGUACGUUUCUGCGCGUCAGGCUGCGUCCUGCCACAUGAUGGAUAGCAGCUUGUGAUUACAUAGGGGAAAGCGCUGAGCAGGCCAGAUCCAGCAGCAGGGAGGCAGCAGCCUGGACCUCGAAGGGUUAAUUUUAUUCUCUAAAUAAUAGGAAAAAUGCUGAGUCGUCACCUUGCGCNAGACCUCUGCCUAGAGCAGGGAGUGGCAGGUGUGGGCUGUGUUCCCUUUGCCUCCUGGCAGUAGUCACAGGGGCUAGCCUUGACUGCUGGAUAGAUAUGAGGCCAGGAGGCCCUCUGCCUGUCUCCUCCUGGUUUUGCACAUUAUGUGGGAAUCUUGAAGCCCUUGAUGUUUCCGGUCGCUGAAUUCAUUUUCCAUCUUUCCUCCCACAAACACUGUGAGCCGGUGCCCUGCGUGGAAGAGCACCCUUGUCUGCCUCUCCAUUCUUCUGUGUGUCUGCAUGCACUUUUAACUUAUCACUCCCGUUGCUCCCGUUUGGCUGCCCGAGGCCUUUGCUGCUGGCUCCUGUCCCAUGUGCAGCCCCGGAGUGUCUAGAGCUCUUCCCUCAUCUCUGGUCUCCCAGAAAGCUCCAGCUCUGGAAUGGCCACUUGCCCAAGAGUCUUGGUUCCUUUGGGGCUUGUUUAAAACGGGCGUUCAGGUGUUGGAUGUGGCAGAGCGCCCUGUCGCCAGCCCGUGCGCAGAGCUGGGGAUGCGUGUGGGCAGCUGUCCUUCUCAGGGUGUGUGUGUGUUCUGCUCAGCCUGCUUCGCCAUGCCUGCCAGUGGCCAGACCCACCUCCAUGGCCUGGCAAGUGCUGGGCUUCAGCUCCCGUAGUCUGCCCACUCUGGUGCUCCUGGAACCCCGCCCUUACCCUUCUGCUCUAAGCAGAGGUCACAUCAGCUCCUCCAAGGGCCACUCAGAGUACCUGCUGUUCUGAUGCAGUGGUCCCAUCACCACACAUCACCCUCGCCAGGUGUCCUUUGUUCAGUCAAAAAUCCUUAUUUUUUCUGUGGGGCGUAGACCUGGCGUGGUGUCGACCUGGCGUGGUAUUCUUGGCUUGCAGGCUGUGGGUCUGUGCAGGGCCUGCCCCACCCAUGCUCUCCGAGAGACUCUGCCUCUGCUUCUGCUGGCUUCACUGGCCAUGGCAAGCAAGGCAGUGUGGUGACAGGUCCUGCCACCCUCCAGGGCUGUUUCCUUUUUGUAAAUUAGAAGGCCAUUGUGGUAAAGGGGCCACACCCCUGCAUGCUCACUGGGGUUAGUUAGUUGUUAAUUGGCAAGUCAGCGGGGAUCAUACUCAGUGCUCCUCUUCUCCCCAAACUACUUCUCCCUGAUUGUGGUGACCCUAAAAGAAUAAUAAAGUCCUUUUUUUUUGAGACAGAAUUUACAUACCAUGUAAUUCACACAUUUAAGUGUAGAAACCCGUUUCGGUGGGUUCUGUGUUCCUUACUGCUUCUGUAUACAGUGCUCAGGACUGAGCCCAGGGCUCAGACACAGCAGGCAGCACUCGAAUGUGGAGCUGGACUGCAGGCCCCCACACCGUUAACUUGUUUUUUUUUUUUGACUAGAGAUUGAACCCAGGGAUGCUUAACCACCAAGCCGUGUCCCCAGUCCUUUUUUAUAUUUUAUUAGGGUCUCACUGAGUUGCUGAGGCUGGGUCUGAACUUGCGAUCCUUCUGCCUCAGCCUCCUGGGAUUGCAGGCUUGCCCCAUGGCAUUUAGCAACAUUGUUGACUUUUUAAAAACUGUGCUACAGCCCGUGUGGUGGCUCACACCUGUAAUCCUAGCUACUCAGAAGGUUGAGAAAGGAAGAUCAAAAGUUCAAAGCCAGCCUCUCAGGGACUUGGCAAGACCCUGCCUCAAAAUGAAUUUUUAAAAAGUCUGGGGUGCAGCUCAGCGGUAGAGCACUUGCCUAGCAUGUGGGAGGCCCUGGGUUCAAUCUCUAAGACCACCAAAAAAAUUUUUUUUGGUGCAAUAUGUAUAUAACAAAAUUUACGAUCUUCACCGUCUUUAGUGGACAACUCAGUGGCAUGGAUUUUUUUUCCAUAGCCAUGGCAGCUCCUCCAAGGGCCACUCAGAGUACCUGCUGUUCUGAUGCAGUGGUGCCAUCCAUCGUUCCACGCCCCUGGGCCUCUGGAGACACAGUCAGCUGCGUACCCAGUCCUGCCCCAAAGCCAGAGGAGCUGGGAGCUGGCAGAGAGGCAGGGGCAUCAGGGUCCAGCUCCAGCUCACGGGCUUGGGGGACACUCACCUCUGCUCCCAAGGGCACUGGGGGGGAACCACGCUGUGGCCUAGCUCAGCCCUGGGCUGCAGGCCCCACUUGGGUCAGCCACGGCUCUAGGCUGCUCAUGUUCAUCGUGGGUCAUUACAGCAGCUGGGUCACAAGAAGCCCAGGUUCUCAGCCCAGUUCAGCCAGGCUGCCCGGGUGGAGGUUUGAGGAGGCAGUGUUUGGGGCACACCCAGCCCCCAGAGGGGCCCAGGGAAGAGGGGGCACAGAGAAUGCUUACCAUCGAUGGACACCGAGGCUCCUAGACCACAGCUGCCCGAUACUGGACCUUUCAGAGGCCACUUACCACACUGGCCUGAAGUUGCAGGAUGAGAACUCAGGAAUGGAGGGCAGGGGAGAGGGUCAGGUGCCAUUUCUAACCAAGAGGACAAAGAGCAUAUUUUGGUUGAUUCUAGAAAAGCAGUCCAGAGGCUGAGAUCCCAGAGAAGACAAGGACAGAAGGGAGCUUUGAUCAGGAAACCUGGUCUCAGGUCUUCUGCCAUGGUCCAGGCUUCUGACAGGAUGGAAAGUUGAGGAGCUCUGAGUUCUGGGCCUGGGGUCCCUGGCUCCCUCACACAUGCCCGCAGAGGAGAGGCAGGGCAACAGCUGUGCUGGUGGGGGCGCCUCCCUGGGCAUGCCUGCCACUGCACCCCUCCAACAGGCAGGAGCCUGCCAGGCAUGGCAGUGGAGCCCCCCAUGGGGCAGCUGACUCCCAAGCAGAGCUUUAGACAGAAAGGCUCCCAGCACCCCAGUGCCCUGGGGGCCUGUGGUCACACAGUGAAGCUGAAGCCUGCACCAAUGCCCCCCACAGCCAGCUGAGCCUGGGGCGGGGCGGGACCCAGAGGUAUUGUCCUCGCGGCUCCUCACAGGACUCUGCAGAAUGAGAAGCUGAGGACAGUGCCGCAGCGCCCCCAGAGCCAGGCGGAGGCAGGAGCUGCUCUGGGGGCGCCAGGUGUGGGAGGCAGCCCUGGUGGCCAGCUGAGUGAGGCCAUCAGUGCUGGGCUGGCCAGCUGGCACAGGAGAGCAGGUGGGGCAGGCAGCCCGUGCCUGCGGAAGGUCUCUGCACAGUGUGGUGCAGCCAUCACUGCUAUCAGAUGUUUCCAGAACUUUCUCAUCACUCCAAGCAGGAACACUGUGAAAUGUUAAGCAGUAACUCUCCUUUCCUCUCACCCACAACCCCUGGCACCCUGUCCAAGGCAUUUCCCAUGAAUGGCAUCACACCGUGUUUGUCCUUUUAUGCCUGACUUCUUCCACUGGCAUCGUCUCUUCAAGGUCUAUCCGCGUGGUGGUGGGUGUCAGCUUCACUCCGUCUCAGGGCUCAAGGAUAUUCUAUCCUGUGUGUGCACGGGUUCUGCUCAUCUGUGCACACACGGUGGUUCUACCUUUGGGCUGCCGUGAUAAUGCCACAGUGAUAUUGGCACACAUCCAUCUGCCUUCACGAGCCUUGGUGUGUACCCAGGAGUGGAGUUAUUGGACCAUAUGGGGAUCCUGUUUAGCUUAUUGAGAAACCACCCAGUUACAUUCCGUGUGGCUGAACCCUUUCCCAUCCCACCAGCAGUGAAUGAGGGUUUACUUUCUCUAUGUCCGCCUGCCUCUUGUUGAAUUGGUAACAAUUUUCCUGAAAUUUUUAGAGUGUGUAUAUACGUAUGUACACACACACACACAUACACAUAUGUAUCAUCAUGUCAUCUGCAAUCAGAGGUGAUUUUGUAUUCUCUGUUUCAUUCAAAAGUCUUUUCUUACUUUUCCCUGCCUAAUUGCUGUGGCUAGGACUUCCAGUACUGUGUCAGGUGGAAGUGGUGACAGUGGGCACCCUUGUCCUGUUCUUCAUCUUGGAAGAGUGUUCAUGUUUCGCCAUUGAAUAUGAUGGUAGCACUGGGCUUUUCAUGUAUGGCAUUUAUCAUGCUGAGGACUUUCCCUUCUACCACUAGUUUGUUGGGUGUUUUUUUAUUACCAAAGGGUAUGGAAUUUUGUCAAACCUUAUUUUAUACAUCAAUUGAGAUAAUUUGAGGGGGGGCUUUUUCUUCAUUCUAUUAAGUUGGUCAGUUAAUGACAUUGACCACAUUGAAUCAUAAUCAGUCACAAUCAACAUAUCGAUGUUUGCAUGUCAAACCAUCCUUGCAUUCUGAAACCAGAUCCCAUGCAGUCAUGACAUAUAAUCCUUUUAACAUACUGGAGAAUUUGGUUUACAAUUAUUUUGUUCAGGAUUUUCUCAUUAAUAUUCAUGAAGGAUAUUGGUCUGUGGUUUUCUUUUUCUCUCUCUCUUUUUUUUUUUUUUUUACUAUUUUGCACCAGUUUUUUUUAAUUGAUUUUUUAAAAUAAAUAACAGCGAAAUGCAUUACAACUCAUAUUACACACAUAGAGCACAAUUUUUCAUACCUCUGGUUGUAUAUAAAGUAUGUUCACACCAAUUCAUGUCCUCAUACAUGUACUUUGGAUAAUGAUGUCCAUCACAUUCCACCAUCACUGCUAACCCCCUGCCCUCUCCCCACUCUCCCUUCUCCUCCCAUCCCUCUCCCCUUUCUAGCCCGUGGUAUUCUUAUACUGUCUUUCUCUGGCUUUGAUAUGAGGAUAAUGCUGACCUUGCAGAAUGAGUUAGUAAAUAUUCCCUCCUCUUAAAUUUUUGGGAAGAAUUUGAGGAGAAUUGUUGCUCAUUCACCAAUGAGGCCUUCUGCUCUCAGGUUUUCAUUCUUGGGAGGUUCUUGAUUACUGAUUGAAUCUCUUUAACUAUAUAAAGGUUAAUUCAGACUUACUUGAGUCAGUUUUGGUAUAGAUUGUGUAUUUCUAUAAAUUGGUCCAUUUCAUCUAAAUUAUCAAAUUUUUUAAUUAUUUCCCAGUUAUUGUUUUGAUGUCUUUCAGGUCUGUAGUGAUCACAGUUUCAGGGCUGGAUAUAUAGCUCAGUUGGUAAAGUGCUUGCCUUUACCAACUAAAAUUCAAUCCCCAGCAUCACCAAAAAAAAAAAAAAAAAGUUUCUUUCCUGGUACUGGAAAGAGGUGACUUUAAUGUUUUCAUUAAAGUUUUUUUGCAAGAGACUUGUCAAUUUCAUUGAUCUUUUCAAAGAACCAGCUCUUCAUUUCACUGAUUUUUUCCAUUUGUUUUUUCUUUUGAUUUCAUUGCUUUCUGCUCUUACUGUGUUUCUGACUGCUUUGGAUCUGUUUUGCUCUUUUUCCCUUGUAGCUUUCUUGAGAUGGGAUCUUGAUAAUUAAUUUGAAGUUGUUCCUUUUUUUUUUUUUUAAGUUUUCUUUCUUUCUUUUUAAAAAUUUUUUUAAGUUGUAGAUGGACACAGUAUCUUUAUUUAUUUGUUUGUUUGUUUGUUUGUUUUAUGUGCUGCUGAGGAUCAAACCCAGGGUCUCACACCUGCGAGGCAAGUGCUCUGCCACUGAGCCCCAGCCCUAGCCCCAGCCCCAGCCCUGGGGUUUUCUUUCUCAGAUACUAAUACAACCACUCCUGAUUUUUUUGGAAAAAGUCUGUGUGAUACAUCUUUUUUCCAUCUUUUUAUUUUCACUUUACCAAUGUAUUAUGUUUGAAGUAACCAUUCUUUUUUUUUUAAUUUUUUUAAAUUUUAACUAGUUAUACAUGACAGCAGGAUGCAUUCAUGCACUUUGAUAUAUCAUACAUAGAUGGGAUAUAAUUUCUCAUUUUUCUGAGUGUACACGUUGCAAAAUCAUAUUGGUCAAGCAGUCACAUAUACACAUACAGUGAUAAUGUCUGUUUCAUUCUCUCUCUCCUGUCCCCACUUCCCCUCCCAUCCCCUCCCAUCCCUUCCCUCUACCUAAUCUAAGGUAAUGCUGUUCUUCCCUAGUGCCUGUCCCCGCCCGCCUUACUGUGAGUUAGCAUCUGCACAUUAGAGAAAACACUCGGCCUUUGGUUUUGUGGGGUUGGCUUAUUUCGCUUAGCAUGGUAUUCUCCAACUCCAACUAUUUACUGGCAAAUGCCAACCAAUCAUUUUUAUAGACAGCAAAUAGUUGUCACAUUAUUAAAUCCACUAUGCACUUGUUAUCUUUUAAUUAGUGUAUUUAUGCGAUUUACACUUAGUGUAGUUUUGAUCUAUCAAGGCUUAAGUCUGUCAUUGGUUUGGUUGUUGUUUUGUUCUUUCUGGUUUUUGGUUUCUUGGUUUUGUCUUGUUCCUGCCUUCUGUGGAUUGCUUUUUAGAAUUGUAUUUUGAUUUAUCUAUAAUAUUUUUAGUAUAUGUCUUUAUAUAGUUUUCUUAAUGGUUUUCCUAGGUGUUAUAUAUUCAUAACUAAUCAAAGCCUACUGGUAUUGGCAUUUUAUCAGUUUGAAUCAAGUGUGGGAAGCGUUAUGUCCCUUUAGCCUUCUCCAUGUGUAGUUGUCCUAAGUGUUUUCUCCACAUACAUUUAGAACCACACUAGACACUAUUAUAAUUCUCACUUCCACCACAAACAUGAUUUAGAAAACUUGAGAAAGAAAAUCCACUGUGUCUGUCCGUAUUUUUGUUUAUCCUCUUCUUUAUUCCUUCCUGCUGUUCAAGGGCUUUUUUUCUCCAUCAUCUUUCCGUUUAGAAGACUUCUAUAUUCAUUUUUUUCCUUUUUUUUAACUGGAGAUGGAGUCUUGCUGAGUUGUCUGGGUCAGCCUCUAAUUGGUGGGCUCCAGUGAUCUUCCCACUUCAGCCUCUGUUACCACCACCUGUACCUGACCCUUACUUUUCAUGGUAGAUCAACUGAUGACCAAUUAUUUAACUUUUCUUUCAUCUGAGAAUGUGUUGAUUUCCCCUUUAUUCCUCGGGGUGGGGGCAUAUCUCCAAAUGUAAGAUUCUUGGUUGACAGUUCUUUCAGUUUGAAAAAUGUCAUGCUUCCUACUUCUGUCCUCCAUGAUAUCUGAUAACUUCACUAUUGUUUGAACAUUUUUCCACGCCGUCAGCUCUCAGGCUCCUGUAUGUGUCCCCUUUCCUGUGGACAGGCCUGGAUCUUUGUCGCCUCCUGAGGCCCUCUUUCCCUGCUCUGCUUGUAGCCACACGUCUCUGCACACUUGCCGUGGUCUUGCCUGCAUGGCUGUCUUGGCCUGCGGGAUGUCUUGGCACAGACCAGGGACACUGCACACCCUGGUCCUCGCUGCUGCUAACCUCCCAGUCUCCUCUGCCCACCACGCCCCGGGACCACACCUGGCUCUGCCCCUCUCAGAGCUCUGGCCUCCACCUCUGCCUCCUGUUCCCCCCACUGGCAGAUCUCGCACCUCUUCUGCCCUUCUCGCAAGCCCUCCCCAGACCUCUCGCCACACACAGCUGCCUUCCAGCGUGCUCUGUCCCAGCUGACCUGCCCACUCCAGCUCAUGCUGCUCCCUGGUGAGCACACCCCUCCCACAGCCUCAGCCCUGUGCUCCUCCCUCAGGCCUCUCAGCCCUGUCCUGAAGUGGGCGGUUCCCUGGGGUUUUCUUCCCCCUCCCCGCCCUCGCUCAUUUGGGGCUACUGAUGGCUUCUAGACCAGGUCCCUCCUGUAGCCCUACUUCCUCCUCAUCCUCUGCUGUCCCCAUCUGCUGCGCCCAUCCUUGGGCACAGACCCGUUGCUGUGGAGCUUCUUCCUCCUGUGGCCUCAGUGCCUUAGGAUGAAUACAGGGCCCACCCAACGACACCAGGCCCCACCUUCCGCCCACUCUGGCCUCACUGGGUACCUCUGGUGACUUGUACUGCCCCACUGCAGCACAAAGCUCAUGGUCACUUAUUGUGUUUAAUGAACAUUUACUUUGGAAUCAUUUUAGAUUUACCAAAAACAUGCAGAGCCUCCAGGGAGCUCCCGCCUCCCAUCCUGAUGACGCCCUCCGUGACCACAGCUAGCCAGCUAGCAUCCAGACCCCAGAGCCAGUGGGGGCACAGCCCUGCCAGCCUCUGCCAGCCUCCCUCAAGGCUGCACGGGGUUUCCUUGCUCCCUGAUGCCCAUUUCUGUCCGGGUGCAGCACGGCGUGUAGUCACCCGGGUCAGGGUGAACCAGGGAGCAGGUGAGGGAGGCCUUGACUUGGCCAGGCCAGCAAGAGUGGGGUGAGGGUCUGGAACGUCUUCUUUGGACAGUGGGAAGGAGGCUGGUGUGUCCACUGUGAACAGGGUCGACCAACAGUUCAUCUGUGGAGAUGGUGCUGGCCAUGGCUGAGGGCCUGUGUCAAGCACUGGGUGAUGUGGAGGGGCAGUGGCCCUGGACUUCUCUGGUGUGGGGGUUGCUGUGGACAGGCCAGUGGACACAGUCACCCAGAGAUGAGUAUGCCGAGCAGACCCACCUGGUCCCUGCAGGCCAUCUGCCAGCAUAGCCACCCCCCAUGCUUGCCUUGGCCUAGAGUGGCAGCCAGUGAGGAAGGGCCCCUCUGCCCGCCAUGUGCAAGGCCUCGCUAUCUGAUAUGUGCUCCAUGGGGCAGAACACAGUCUGACACCACUGUGGGAUUUCCUUGAAGGCCCCUGAUGACCUUCCUCAGUAUCCUGAGGUGGGUGAAGAAGCUGGGUGACUAGUGAAUUGCUUGAACAUGGCUUUGGCUUUGCAGGCCUCUGACCUGACGCUCAGGUACCACGCCUGGGGCUGUACAAGGCCUGCACCCAGGGGCCAGCCACAGCGCCUCUCCAGGCCCCUCAGCACAGCAGAUCCUGCCUCCAGCCACCCUCGGGGUUGCCCAGCCUCCUUCCCUCCUGGCCACUGAGAGCACUGGCCAGUGUUGUGCCUGUUGGUCUGCAUUUCUGACCUGAGGUGAGGCCGGCCCUCUUCCCGGGAGUCCUCGUACCUCUCUUGGGGGCUUUCUGGUGAGGGGUGGGCAUCUUCAGGAGGUUUGCGAGUGUAAGAUAUGGAUGUCACUGAAGUAUAAACGGGUACUCGGUUUCUGUAGCCACACCAUGGCGCGCAUCUUCUUCCAGUGUGUGGUGUGGUUUUUUGUCUCUUUGUGGUAUGAUUUAAAGAACAAAAGUUCCUAACUUUAAUGGAUGUAGCUUUAUCAGUCUUUUCCUUUGCAGUUUGCACCCUUAGUAUCUGGUACAAGGAAACCUUCUGUACACCAACGCAUGCUAAAUUGCCUUCUGUCUUUAGGACUAGGAUCUUAUUUUUUGAGAUACUGGGAAUUGAACCCAGGGCCUCUCUACACUAGGCAAGCCUCUGUCCCGGGCCACACCCCAGGGCAGGGCUGGGACUUGGAAUCCUUUGGAACUGGGUUUGGCCGGGAUGCGAGGCAGAGCCCAGCCGCACUUGGCACAGUGCCCUGCUGCAGGCAGCCGUGCUCCCAGCAGUCCUCGUGCAGCCUGCCAGUCCAGCCCUUGUAUGAGUGCAGGGUGCCUCCAGCUCCCUUCUCCUCACGGCUGGCUGUGCCUGAGCCAGUACCACACUUAAGUUAUCUGAGCUUCGUGACUCAGUGGUGGAGUGCUUGACUAGCAUGUGCAAGGCCCUGGGUUCUAUCCCCAGGAAUGCAAAAAAUUAAAAAUAAUUCAUAAUAAAGCAAGUUCCUUCACCUCACUGAUUUCCUUUAGGGAGGUUUUCAUGGUUCUUACCUUUUAUUCUUCCAAACAUGUAUUUUAACCUCUUUUUUUUUUUUUUUUUUUCCAGUGCUAGAGAUUGAGCCCAGGGUCUCACGCAUGCUAGGCAAAAGAAUAUUUUAAAUCCGCUUUGUUAAGUUAAAAAAAAAAUACUUUGGCCAAGUGUGUAGCACACGCCUAUAAUCCCAGUGACUCGGAAGGCUGAGGCAGGAGGAUCUCAAAUUCAAGGCCAGCCUGGGCAACUUUGAGACCCUGUCUCAAACUAAAAAUAACAAGUCUGGUGCAGUUCUCUGGGGUUCAAUCCCCAGUACCAAGAACACAGAAAGGCCCCUUUGGGGUUCUAACAGGCGUCGUCUGGACCCUGUGGUAGAGGUGGUGAUAGCUGCUGCUGCCUACGCCACAGUGAGCCUUGUGGACAGGAGGGUGGCACCCAUCCUCCCUGUGCAGGCCUCUCUUGGAUGUCUAGAGUUCUUGUUUUCUGAUAGGUGUACCUCUGGCAUGUUGUUUCGUGGGGGGGGGGGGGGGGGGGGUUGGUACUGGCGGUUGAAUAGGGCUUCACAGAUGCUAAGUGAGUGCUCUGUCACUGAGCUCAAUCCCUUUUUAUUUUAUUUUGAGGCAAGUUCUCACUAAGUUGCGGAGGCUGACCUUGAACAUGGGAUCCUCCUGCCUCAGCCUCCUUAGUAACUGGGAUUACAAGCUGGGCUGCCAUGCCCAGCUUCUUAUUUCUUUUUCUUUUUUUAAUAUUUAUUUUUCAGUUGUAGUUGGACACAGUACCUUUAUUUAUUUAUUUAUUUAUUUAUUUAUUUCUGUGUGGUGCUGAGGAUCGAACCCAGGACCUCACACAUGCUGGACGAGUGCUCUACCACUGAGCCACAGCCACAGCCCGUAUUCUUUUGAGUCCAAAUGCAUUUUCUUGCCUGGUGCACUGGCUCGGAUCCAGGACAUGUGGAUUGGUGGCCAUGGGGCUUCUGGCCUUUCCCAGUGACAGUGAUGCUUUAUGGAAGGCUGUCUAGAGUAUGCUAAGGAGUCCCCUUCCACCACUAAUUAGCUAAGUGUUCCUUUUUUCAACUUUGAAUCAAGGCUGAAUUUUACUAAAUGCUGUUUUCCUAUUUACUGAGGUGUUCAUAUGACUCUGCCCUUUGAGCCUAUAUUAAUCUCUGUUUAUUGAUUUUUCUUUUUCUUUUUGUCACUCUGUUUUUGUGCACUGACUUUCUGGUGUUGAGCCAGCCUUGCAUUCCACCCGAUCCCGGGAGAUCAGUGUCUCCAUAUGUUACAGACCAUCUCUGGCUUGGGGAGGCGGGGUGCUCUGGCACCCUUUUUUGUAAGGUUGCCCCAAGUGGACUUUUCUCAUAUGGUCCUGGUCAGGUUUUGGUUUCAAGACUUUUCUGGCCUCAUAAGCAAACAGUUUUUUUUUUCUGUUUUCCCAUUCUGUGAGUCAGUUUAUGAAAGAUCAGAAUUAUGUGCCUCAUAAAUAUGUUAGAACUCUGGGAUAUAGCUUUCUUUGCUUCUCAGCUACUGAUGGAGAUUCUGUUAUGGUUGUAAGAAGACGCAGGUUUGAGUGUUCUUCCUGUUGGUCUGUCUGGAGCUGGAUGUGCCCGUCUGUCCCCCGAGGUGCUGGCCUGCGGUCUGUCCUCCUGCUCCCCGCUUCUCGUGUCACCUGACAUGCCCCUGGCCAUCAGGGUUUCCCAGGAGCAGCCUGGUGCAGCCUGGGUCUGAUUUCUGCCCAGGUCCGCUGCUUCCCUAUAACGUCAGCACCCAUGUGUGAGGCUCUGGUUGCCCCACUGGGUGCCGAGUGUUAUCGGCCCCGCACUCCUAGUUGGAUUAAUUAUUCAAUGAUAGUUUCCAUACUGCAGGUCUUGCCAGCUGGGGGCGGGGGGUGGGGCGGUGGUCAGCUGGCUGUGCUUGCCCUUGCCCUCGUGCUCCUAGGGGCUCUUCCUCCUUAUACUUCUCCUCAUGGCUCUCGGGUGGCCUGGGGAAUGUCUUUACCCUCCACCUUAGAGUUCUGGUUGUCUUCAGAGCAGCACUGUCUGGUGGCAACACGUGAGCCACAUGGGUAGUUUGAGCUGGAGGGUGCAGCUCCAUGGCAGGGGCUUGCCCAGCAUGAGCAAGGCCCCGGGUUCAUCCCCAGCACCACAUAAAUAAGUGAAAAAAGGAAAACAAUAGAUGAGAUAUACUUUAUUAAGCACAGCAUAUCACAACGUGUAACUAAGGAAAAAAAUACAAUUUUGGUAUUUUACCUUCUUGUUUUUCUGUUGAGUCUAAACUCCGAAGUCUGGCCUCCACACAGGCUGUGUCUCGGGCCCAGAGCCACCUUGUGGAGCUGGACCCACUCUGUCCAGCACCCCGUCCACUCCUGCGCCUCUGUCAUCUGCUGUGGAGCCCUGGUGACAUCCCUAAGGCACUUGCUGGCCAGCACGGGCAAGCACCUCUGCUCACAGGGCCUGGGCUCAUGUGCGUCCUGCCGGUGGGCCUCUUCCUGCCUGCCUGGGCUCUGGCAGUGCUGUCCCCUUCUCCUCUGCCUGCCACACUGCACUGGGUUUCAGGGCCCUGUGUCACCGGCCAGGCCCGGCACAGAGGGGACUUGACUCUGUGGGGAUGAGUGAGUGAAUUGGGAGCUCUUGCCCAAGCCUGCCCUCUCUGUGGCCGGGUAGGUGGCCACGGGGCAAGAUGGGCAUGGGGCAGGGGCAAGGCGUCUGCCUGGCCAGCCCGCUCACUGCAGCCGGCCCCUCGUGCUCCACGCGCCGUCCCCCAUUAGGCCCUCAAUCCUGGGCGCUGGAAGCAGGGCCAGGCUGGUUCUGUGGGGCCUGAGAUGAGAAGCUUCAAGGUGGGAUCUGCGCUGGGGCCCUGGCCUGGUGUUGAGUUGGACUCUGUGGGCUCUCUAGGUUCUGUGGGGUCUAAGUUCAAGGUGGAGCGGCCUGUCACCAGUCUAGGGGAGACACAGUAGGGGUGCUGCAGGCCAGGUGGACUGUGGCUCCCUCCUCCAAGUUGUGCCUAUCUGAGCCAGCUGCAGCAGGGUGGGGGGACACAGUGGGGAGACCUUGUCCCUAAUAAAACCUUGGACUCAGGUGGGAGGUAGGAGUGAGGGGCCAGGAAGGAAGGCCCUGAGUGCCCGUCCCCAUCCUGGGGCCGCUCAGUAGGGUGCAACCAAGGCUUCUCGCCUCCCUGUGGCCUGGUGACAGAGCUGAGGCCCAGUGGCUGCCUGGAGCACCUGCCUGCUGGCGCCCCUUCUCCUCUGGGUAUAAUUAGCCCCACGACAGGUGCUGUGGAUCGAGUGCCCAACCCAGCCCUGACCCAGUGCUGCCCGGCCUUAGCCGACCUGCCGCACCCCAUGGCCCGGGCUCCAGCCUGAACCCUGCCUGGCAAGGUCCCCUGAGGCCUCAAGCCCCACCUGCCUUCCUCUGGGCUUUCUCCACACCCACCAGGAUGGACAGGCUGUCAAGUGGGGGCGGUAGACAGGCAGAGCCCUGGACAGUGGCCUGGCCUCAGGCUCUGGGAGUCCUCAGGAUGGCCGGUCCCUCAGGCCAUGUCCAGGGGCCCAGGCGAGCCACUUGGCCUGGUGACCUCAUCCUUCCAGUGAGACACCUCCAGCCCGAGACCCAGGGGGCACCGUGCAGCUGCAGGAACGUCUCCCAGUGCCGUGCACGGCGUCCGCGCAGCACACCCAGCUGUGUCCCUUCUCCCCCAGUGCAAGAAGAAGCACACACUGCUGUGCCCAGACUUUGCCCGUAGGGGUGCAUGUCCCCGGGGCACCCAGUGCCAGCUGCUCCAUCGUAACCAGAAGCGCCACGGCCGGCGGGCAGCUACGCCCCCCACCCCAGGGCCCAGCGAAACAACUCUCAGGAGCAGAAUGUCAGCUGGCCACGGACCCAGGUGAUGGGGUGGUGGGUGCUGCGUUGUUUGUGACAGAGGUGGCCCAACCCUCCCCUGGGGACAUGGACCCUCUGGGGUGAGUCCCCACCCAGUAACUUCUUGUAACUGCAGAUCCAAAAACAAAUGUCCGUCGGAGGCAGGAAAUGGAGUGGAGGUCCCUGAGCUUCAGACCCAAGGGUGUCCCGCCAAUGGAGGGAGGUGGGGGCUUUCAGAAACCCACUCCCCCGAAGAGGGGAUGAAGCUGGGCUCCCAGGAGGGGCUUGUGGAAUGGGGAGCCCCCUGUAGGUGAGGAAACUGGCUGCAGAAAGUGAGUUUCCCACUUCUAGCCGACCCCAGCUGCCUCAGCCAGAGGCCCUGAGACCAGCCUGUCCUUGGGGCCAAGGGUCAAGCUGGGACCUGGAUGGAGACACCUGUGGCUGCUGUGACAGGAAGUGGGGGCAGGGGCCAGAAGACCUGUCACUGGGAUGGUUCCCCACAGGAGAUUGCUAGUGCCCUCGGAGCCCCUGAGUGCCAGGCAGCUGCUCACCUUUACCGCUGCUCCCUCCCUUUCCUACAGGAAGCCCUCGGCUACCCAGCGUCCCACCAGACAGACGCCCAGCUCCCCCACCUCCAGGGCUGCACUCCCA